AGCACUUUGCAGACAAGCAAAUGCCAAUUGUGAAAGAGAUCAUGCCAUGGCAGCUAUAAAUAGGCAUGUAGCAUGAUGACCAUCCUUCCUCAUUCAUCAUUCUCAUAAGUAGAGUGCAUCAUUCAAGCCAAGCAAGAACUGGUCAAUACAAAUACACCAUGAAGACUUUUCUCAUCCUUGCCCUCCUUGCUAUUGUGGCGACCACUGCCACAACUGCAGUUAGAGUUCCAGUGCCACAAUUGCAGCCGCAAAAUCCAUCUCAGCAACAACCACAAGAGCAAGUUCCAUUGGUGCAACAACAACAAUUUCCAGGGCAGCAACAACCAUUUCCACCACAACAGCCAUAUCCGCAGCCGCAACCAUUUCCAUCACAACAACCAUAUCCGCAGCCGCAACCAUUUCCGUCACAACUACCAUAUCCGCAGCCGCAACCAUUUCCACCACAACAACCCUAUCCACAACCGCAACCACAAUAUCCGCAACCACAACAACCAAUUUCGCAGCAACAAGCACAACAACAACAACAACAACAACAACAACAAAUCCUUCAACAAAUUUGCAACAACAACUGAUUCCAUGCAGGGAUGUCGUCUUGCAACAACACAACAUAGUGCAUGCAAGCUCACAAGUAUUGCAACAAAGUAGUUACCAACUGUUGCAACAAUUAUGUUGUCAGCAGCUGUGGCAGAUCCCCGAGCAGUCGCGGUGCCAAGCCAUCCACAAUGUCGUUCAUGCUAUUAUUCUGCAUCAACAACAACAACAACAACAACAACAACAACAACAACCAUCGAGCCAGGUUUCCUACCAGCAGCCUCAGCAACAAUAUCUAUCAGGCCAGGGCUCCUUCGAGCCAUCUCAGCAAAACCCACAGGCCCAGGGCUCUGUCCAGCCUCAACAACUGCCCCAGUUCGAGGAAAUAAGGAACCUAGCGCUACAGACGCUACCAGCAACCUGCAAUGUCUACAUCCCUCCAUAUUGCUCGACCACCAUUGCGCCAUUUGGCAUCUUCGGUACUAACUGAGAAGAGAAGAACUCUAGUACUAGAUAUAUCAAACAUCGUGUUCUUAGUCCAUGGUUUGGUCGUUGUACUGGUGAAAAUAUAAAGUGACAUGCACUACCAUGUAAGAACCCGAACUAUACUAGUUCAAACUUGGGAAUAAAAGACAAAGCCAGGUCUUGUCUGCAUAUGAUUAUUUGUUUGAGUUCCAUUCAUGUGCCCGUUCACAAGUUCACCCCUAAUUAUAUAUAUUACGCAUUAAGUAGAUAUCUAUGUUGCAUUAAUUUGAAGAUAACAAAAUGAGUCUAAAACUUGAAUUAAAUUGAAUUGUUUUCUUGGACUUUCAAAUUGUGUAUUAUUAAAGUAGUAACGACUAUCCACAUCCUUGGCUUGCCCUUGAUCAAUUAUUUCCAGAGAAGCAUUCAAUUCAUCAAUCAAUUACAUUGAUUUUUGAGACUGGUACAUCUCCUCAUCAUGAGUAUCAUUGCGGCUACUCCAAAUCGCCCACAUAACCGAAGCAUUAAUAGCGCUCUUCUUGCAUCAGGAAAUAUGGAUUGAAGAUAUCAGGUGACCAUGUUUCCGGGUGCAACCUUGGGAGUUUUAUGUCAAAAUAUUCUCAAGAAGAAUCCAAGAAUAAACUUGCAUGCUCACGUGUGAUAAGGGCAUAUGAAGUAACAUUUCCUCCCCAUGGCCACAUAGGGCACACACAUAACCCCAUCACAUGCAUUUUUAGUUAUGCAUAUGAAAGGUAGGAUGUUUUUAAUUACUCUCCACCAAAAUACUCUUAACUUGGCUUGUACCCUAAGAGUUUGUUGCCUUUUCAUUUCUUCUUCCCCAUUAGACAAACUAGACAGUCCAUCCACCACACCAUUCCUUGUGUCCAUCAUGGCUCUGUACAACAAUUGGACAGAACAAAUGUCAUUUCUUUAUGAUACCCACGACCAAAUGUCCUCUGCUGGAUUGUUUGGUCGUGGCAUAUUAAGGAUGGCCACCUCAUCUGAUGGGAUAAACACCUAAUGAAUGAAAGGAUUGUUCCAGUCGCCCGUGUUUUUCAUCGAUAAGAUCAGCUACAAGUUGGACCGGAGUUUCUCACAUGCAUCGUAGUGGUUUCAUUAGCGGCAUGCCCUGCACCCAUUUAUCAUGCCAUAUCUCUGUAGUAUGUGCAUUCCCAAUUUGUCACAACAUACCCUCCUUCAAACCUUCUUGACCUUUCAGAAUUGCACGCCAAGUUAGCGAUGCACUAUGCAGGAACCCGCAUUUCAAAAAAAAAAGAAUCUCAUUUCAUGGUAUCUUCCAUAAAGGACCCUCAUACAUGAGCUAUCUAGAUAGAAACAGCCAUGUAUGUUUAGCAAACUUUGCAUAAGUGAAUAGAUCAAGGUUGUGGAACCCCAAGCCUCCAAUUACACCCGGCCUCUCUACCAACAAGAUGUCUAAAGACAUGAAGGAUACACACAGCCAAAAAAGAAAAUAAAAAGAACAAAAUAAAAAAUACCCCACCAUGGUGGUCAAUCACAAGCAUCAACAACACUCUAACCACCACCGAAGACAAUGCCCGGAUUACAAAAAGGUUAUUCAAAAGCAACACCCACAAGAAGGAAACAAUGCACAAGCGUUGUCGUUGCCCGAUAGAAGAUCGUGGGUUUUCACCCUGGAAAAAUUUUGAGUUCACCCAAAAACAAUGCCUUCAACAAGGCCAUUGCCAAGUACAGCCAAUAAGGGGUAGACCUUGGGUUUUCAACCUAGGAACUGAGACUCGAUAGUCGACAAGUACCACCGAAAAUGCAGUCCACCGGUGUUGCCGCCCCCGCUUGCCGAGGCCGCUGUUGCAAGUCACCAAACAUACAGUUGUCAUCGCAUCCAAUACAUCCUUCCGCCGAAGCUUCAAGACCUCAAAUGGCAGCCGCCGUGACUUUCUCCACAUCUAUCAAUGCCUUGAGGAUCUUGACUUAGACAUGUCCCGUGACAUAAAUAAGAAACCGAAGCUUCGCACCGCGUCCUCUUGAGGCCGUGUUGGCUGAUAAUAUUAGCGCGUAUGACGGGAGCCUUUCCAACCUAGAUAUCCAGGGGCGACAUACACCAAUCAAUAUAGAUCUCCGCUCGGAAAGACCGGAACUCAUCAACGGCCAGAUCCAAGUGGUCGACAUCCGGCAAAAAGACGACUUGGCGGAAGAAGAGCAUCAGGGCCAAACCACCAUUAUUAGUCCGAAGCUAAUAGCCCCCACGCCGCCCUCCUCUCGAUCCAGACCUGCAGAAAAAGAUCAACGACGCCGCAUCGUGCCACUUGCAUCCGUGGAGGCUUGAACUUGGCAAGAUGCCAACCAUGGCUGGAGACGGGGACCAGCCACUCCUGGCUGGAUCCGGUGACUCCUAGUCCUACCGCUGCCGCUACGGCGGCACCGCGUGUGGCCUACAAGCCCAUCCACGAUGAUGUCUGAUUAGAAGGAUACAUGGAUAUACAGAUGAAAAGGCCCUUGUUAUCCCUCCAACAAUAUAUAUAUAGCUUAUUGGGACGUGAGAAAGCUCGCACAAUUUUAUAGUGGCUAUGGAAAUGUGUUGCCAGACAGAGAUAUAAGAUUUUUGUUUGGCAUCCAGACCGUUUGUGUCAUGCUUAAUCGAUGGUCACUCUAAUUUUUCCGGCGGGCCUUCCCCGUGGUACUGCAGCCUUAUAUGUGUAUGGGUUUCAUACAGCUAUUCUGUCCUGUCUAGAAAAGGAGAAAACCAAAAUUACUUGGAGUUAAUAACUAAUACGUUUCCUUUAACUACCAUGUGCACGGCGAGGAUUUACGUGCAUGAUGUUUUUUCCUCUCCCCACGUCAUAUUGGGCCGGCCCAUUCACGCGCAUAUGGUUAGAAAAAGAGAUGAGGAAAGGGAGAACCAGGAUUGAUUCCUAGUCUCAAGGUGACCGUGGGUGCUGCUACCAGUCCGCCCAAGUCCCGUUCGUGAUAAGUUGUAGGUGCGCGUGGUACUUCAAGCGAUUCAAGCCGGUUUUAUUUGAGUUUUUUUUCUCUUUUUUUUCUUCUUCAUUUUUUUCAUUCUUUUUUACACUCCGUUUCUUCGAUUUGUCAUUCUUUUUUUCUUUUGUUUAUUUCCUUUUUUUCGGUUUUCUUUGUUCUAUUGGUUAUCAUUGUACAUUUUUUGUAUAUGUCAACAACAUUUUUCUCUAAUACACGUCUAACAUUUUUCAAAUACAAACCAACCAUUUUUGUAAUACAUUGUCAACAUUUUUUCUAUACACAUUUUUUAAAUGCUUGAUUAUCAUUUUUCAAAUACAAGAUUAACAUUUUCUCAAUACAUGGUCACCAUUCUUUUUCUAUUUUCACAAAAAACUUAAAUGCUUGAUUAACAUUUUCUUAAUACAUGGUCAACUUUUUCUCUAUACACAUUUAACAUUUUCCAAACGCUUGAUUAACAUUUUCGAACCCUUGUUCAACAUUUCUUUUAAAUGCCUGAUUAACAUUUCUGUAUACAUGAUCAAACAUUUUUAUCAUUUUAAUACAUGGUCAACAUUAUUACCAUACACAUUUAACAAUUUCCAAUUCUUGAUUAAUAAUUUUUAAAUACUUGUUCAACAUUUUUUUCAAAUGCAUAAUGAUGACAUUGUUCAAAAGUGGCAUCACAAGUUUCAGGGAGUAGAAAAUAGAUUAAUCAAUGAAACCGCGCGAACUUUGUGAUGCUAUUGUGUUAUAUCAACUACUUUCUCCGUCUCAUAAUAUAAGAGUGUUUUUCACAUUAGUAUAUAGUGGAAAAACGCUCUUAUAUUAUGGGACGAAGGGAGUAUGUGUUUGUUAUGUCAUACUGAGCACCAAAUUCACUAUAUAUAUAUCUAUACCAAUAUAAAAAGACCUAAAGGGGCAGAUCCAAAUAAUCUUGGCCAUUAAAUCAUGUCAAUCCAAUGACAUAGACUGCUUCACUGUCGAGCACUUAAUACGUUUAGCAUGCAGUUAAUUGCAUGCCAAAUAUAGUGCUAAUCACAUAAUAACAUGCAAAUAAUAUCCUACUUAAUAUCCGAAUGCACUUAAUAUACUUCCAAAUUAACGCGCAUUACACAUACACAUUAACUAAUCACAUAAUCAAAGAAAUUAACACACAAAUAAUAGCAUACCUAAUAUCCACGUGUAAAUAAUAAAACAAUAUAAUGCUUAAAUAUUAACCUGUGUUGCACGUGCACAUUUAGUAGAACAUGGGAAUACAGUAACAGUAAGCUCACUAGACGGAAGCCCGUCACGGCCAUGUGAAUAGGAUCCUCCUCGUACUGCUCCUCUCCUGCCCUGCCCUGAGCAGUAUCAUCCGUCGUCGUCGCCGGGCGGCGCAGCAGCCGGCGGCCGAGGGGAGACCGAGAUUUCCUCUUUGGAGGCGCCGAAUGCGGCUCGUAAGUCCAAAUCCCUCCCAGUCCCGCCUCUCGAAUCCCCACCGGUCUCCUACUUCCAUGCCGCCAAUGCCCGCCUUUUCUUUGGACUCCGAGCGAGGAAUCGGAGGGAAAGCUGUGUGCUUCUUGCAGCUUCAUGCCCCGGCAAUGGCGGCCCUGCUUGCUUUCUGUUGCCGCUGGGUCGCUCUACUCUCUGCGUGCCCGUCCGCAAGGUGUUCGAUGGAUUGUGCGCAGGGUGUCGGCCCGGCUGGUCCCCUGGUCUCGUUCCAGUUCUCCCAGGUUUCAGUCUGCUUACUGUCAGUUGCUGAAAAUGUGCACGAAACGGAUGAAAAUGCUGGGAUAUGCGCUCUUUGUUUACCGUUUACCGUCAUUUGUUUGGUUGCAGGAAGCACCCGGCCUUAAGCAUAGUACUACAUAUAAAGUUGUAUGUUCUGUUCUGUUUGUUUGUUUGCUGUCUGAUGAUUGAGACAAGGGCAUAAUCUAAAGUUUGGCACCUGCACUUGCACCUGCUCCUGCACAUUUAUGUGCUGGAAACUGGAAUCUGUUCAGAGUAGUAUGGCCACGCCACAGGUUUUAGCUUUCACUCAUGGACCACAUUGCUUCUUGACUAUCUUGGAUGCUUGUUGGCCCAUCCUUGUAAUUCUAUAUCUUUCUAGUAGUCUUAUAAAUCAGAAACAUAACAACUUUUUGUGUUGCUUACUAUAUUUUGUGUAUUUACUUAGCGUGUUUAGUCAAAUCAUCUGUCAUUGUUCUCUCAAGUUGUUUUUCCUUGCGAUAUUCAACCCAGCGGUUUAAAAUUCCUGCAAUUGAUUCAUUCAAAGUGAUUUUUCCUUCUUUGUUGUUGUUUUCUUUUAAAUGUUUGGGCUGAGGCUCCAAAUGUUGCUACUCUUUUACAUGGACUAUGUUACUUUGGAGAAUACAAGAAUUAUGCAUUGGUACCACGAUAACAUAUGCCUAAUGGUUUUUCUUACAGGAUGGGGUUUCCAACACAUAAAUAGUUUGCUAGCAUGCAGACAAGUGUCCAGUAGCCUUUGCGCCAUUUGAGGCGUAAUGGAGAUAGUUUUUCUCAUGUUGUUGGUUCUUUCUCUGCUCCUUUUCCCUAAUGGCAUCUGCAAGAGUUUAGCCACAGGGCCUCCUGUUGUGAAUAUUGGGUCUAUUCUUCAAUUUGACUCCACCACCGGAGGUGUUGCGGCAGUUGCCAUCCAUACAGCCUUGGAAGAUAUCAACUCCGAUCCAACAGUUCUAAAUGGAACUACACUAAAGGUUCAAAUGAAGGAUACAAAUUGCUUUGAUGGUUUCCUUGGCAUGGUUCAAGGUAGGCUAGCUUUAAUGUCACUCAUUCAUUUCGCAACCUUCAAAUAAUUUUUUACUUCUGUUGUGGAGUUGUGGCAAUGAUGCCGUGUUCCUUGUAUCAGCUUUGCAGUUCAUGGAGACUGAUGUUAUUGCACUCAUUGGCCCUCAGUGCUCUACUAUUUCUCAUAUGAUUUCAUAUGUAGCAAAUGAGCUUCAAGUCCCUUUAAUGUCCUUUGCUUCUGAUGCAACUCUUUCAUCGAUACAGUUCCCGUUCUUUGUCAGGACGGGUCCCAGUGAUCUCUAUCAAAUGGCGGCUGUGGCAGAAGUUGUUGACUACAACCACUGGAAGAUAGUGACUGCCAUAUACAUUGAUAAUGUUUAUGGUAGAAAUGGCAUUGCUGCUUUGGAUGAUGCACUCACUUUAAAGCGCUGCAAAAUAUCCUACAAGGUUGGGUUUCCUUCCAACGCUAAAAGGAGUGACCUCAUAAAUUUGUUGGUUAGUGUCAGUUAUAUGGAGCCUCGUGUUAUUGUUCUCCAUACUGGAGCUGAACCUGGACUCAAGCUUUUCUCUGUGGCAAACCAACUGAACAUGAUGGGCAACGGCUAUGUGUGGAUUGCAACUGACUGGCUGUCUGCAUAUCUUGAUGCUAAUUCAUCAGUUCCUGCUGAGACUAUAUCUGGCCUGCAAGGUGUUCUUACUUUACGGCCACAUAUUCCCAACUCAAAGAUGAAGAGUAAUUUGGUCUCCAAAUGGGGCACGCAAAGUAAAAAGUACAACUACAGUGAUCUUCGUGUAAAUACGUAUGGUUUUUAUGUUUAUGAUAGUGUCUGGGCAGUAGCUCGGGCUCUGGAUGCCUUCUUUGAUGAUGGUGGUAGGAUUUCCUUUUCAAAUGACUUGCAUGAUGGAAUUGGAGGAACUCUUCACCUUGAAGCAAUGAGCAUUUUUGACAUGGGAAGCAAAUUACUGGAGAAGAUUAGAAAGGUAAACUUCAGUGGGAUAUCUGGGCAAGUGCAAUUCGAUGCUGUAGGCAACCUCAUUCACCCUGCGUAUGACAUCAUAAAUGUCAUCGGAAAUGGCAUGCGGACCAUUGGUUUUUGGUCAAACUAUUCUGGCUUGUUGUCGACUGUCUCUCCAGAGGCUCUAUAUUCAAAGCCUCCUAAUAUUUCUCUCGCCGAUCAGCAUCUCUAUGAUGUUAUUUGGCCUGGGGAAACUGCACAGAGGCCUCGAGGAUGGGUCUUUCCUUCUAAUGCCAAGCAGUUGAAAAUUGGUGUUCCCAACAGAUUUAGCUUCAAAGAGAUCGUCACGGUAGACAAUGCUACUGGGUCAAUGAAGGGUUAUUGCAUCGAUGUCUUUACUCAGGCAUUGGCUUUGCUUCCUUAUCCUGUUAGUUACAAGUUUGUACCUUUUGGGAAUGGUACUGAAAAUCCUAAUUAUGACAAACUCGUACAGAUGAUUGAAUCAAAUGUAAGUAUGGAAUGCCUCUUUUCUUCCUCUAACCAUUUCAUCAUAUACCAUGCUGACCAGGGUCAUCUUAUCCUGCAGGAGUUUGAUGCAGCUAUAGGGGAUAUUGCAAUUACAAUGAGGCGGACAGUAACUUUUGAUUUCACCCAGCCAUUCAUUGAAACAGGCUUGGUUAUCUUGGCUCCGGUUAAAGAGCAUAUAACAUCGUCCUGGGCAUUCUUGCAGCCAUUUAGUUUGGAGAUGUGGUGUGUUACAGGGCUGUUCUUUCUUAUUGUGGGUGUGGUUAUUUGGGUUCUUGAACAUCGGAUCAAUGACGAUUUCCGUGGUUCAGUAUGUCAACAAAUAAUAACUAUUUUCUCGUAAGGAGCUGGCAUUUACCUUUUGUAUCGUCUUCUUGUAUAUCAUUCCUGUUUUCGAAGUGUUGAUGUUUUAACAAGUCUUGUGCAAUAUGUUGCAUACAGCGAGCACCUUAGAGCAUUGGCCAGUUAACAUACCUAAAUGAAGCAUCUAGUGAUUACCAAUGAACUACUCCCUCUGUCCCAUAAUAUAAGAGUGUUUUUGACGGCGGGAGUAUUAUCUUAAUAAUCUUGUGAGACAUAUAUACAUGCACAGUAUAUAUAUUCGCUUAAUGAUAUUUAUGUUCAUUGCUCUAUUUUUUCCUGUUUUCACGUACUUCUCCACAUGUAUUUGCCAAAUGCUCUUAUCAUGACGUGAUUCCUUACUGUGAGUAUAAUUUCAAAUUUUAUUGCCUGCAGGUUCAGCUUUUCAACUUUGUUCUUCGCACACAGUGAGUAAACCAACCUUUUCUCUUAUGUGUUUUUUUGGCUAUAACAUUUUGUUCUGAGGCAUGACUCGUGAUUUCAUCCAUGUCUGCUCGCAGGAGAAAAUACUAUGAGUGCCUUAGGGCGUGGUGUCCUGAUCAUAUGGCUGUUUGUUGUUUUGAUAAUUGUAUCCAGCUAUACCGCGAGUCUUACUUCCAUCCUGACCGUGCAACAACUUGAUACUUCUAUAAAAGGAAUUGAUGACCUGAAAAAUAGCAAUGAUCCUAUUGGUUUCCAAGUUGGUUCUUUUGCACAAGACUAUAUGGUCAAGGAGCUCAACAUCUCACGGUCAAGGCUAAGAGCUCUUGGUUCACCACAAGAAUACGCGGAAGCCCUCAAGAUAGGCCCUAAGGAAGGAGGUGUUAUGGCCAUUGUUGACGAGCGCCCCUAUGUUGAACUGUUUUUGUCAACCUACUGCAAGAUUGCGGUAGCUGGCACAGAUUUCACCAGCAGAGGAUGGGGCUUUGUAAGUACAGUUCAACCAUAUACUUUUAUAUAAACUACUCCCUCCGUUCCUAAAUAUAAGUCUUUGUAGAGAUUCCACUAUGGACCACAUACGGAUGUGCAUAGAUGCAUUUUAGAUUGGAGAUUCACUCAUUUUGCUCCGUAUGUAGUCCAUAGUGGAAUCUUCCCAAAGACUUAUAUUUAGGAACGUAGGGAGUAGAAUAUAAGAACAAAAUAUUAUGCUGUUAAUGUCCUGGAAUAGAGGUUUUAACUUUGAAUAGUUGUGUCUAGUCUCUAGUUUAUUAUGCAACUUUUCUUGCACUUAUCUGCGGCUACUUUGUUUCGCAAAUCGAAAUGUAGCACCUUACAAAUUAAUUCUGCCAGGCAUUUCCAAGGGACUCCCCUUUGCAAGUAGACCUCUCCACCGCAAUCCUGUCUCUGUCAGAGAAUGGGGAGCUGCAGCGGAUCCAUUCCAAAUGGCUCAAUACAGGGGAGUGCACAACUGACAACAGCGAGUUUGUCGACUCGAACCAGCUCCGCCUUGAGAGCUUCCUUGGUCUGUUCCUAAUCUGUGGUGUGGCAUGUGUUCUCGCGCUGCUACUCUACUUUGGUAUCAUGCUAUGCAAAUACCUGAGGCAUGAACCGCGGAAGAGCCUCAGAAGAUUCAUCUCGUUCGUCCAUGGGAAGGAGCCGCCGAAGAACAUGGAGAGGCGAUCCAUGAGCCUGCCUGGAAGCUCGACGCCAACAACGCCGAUGGGCAGCUUUAGUUCCCUUGACAUGGAAAGGCCGGCCAGGCCAGUCAGAAACGGCAGCGUUAUUGAUAUGGAAAGCUAGUUCAUGUGUAGAAAGCUACGCGGUCGACUAACAUAGGUUCUGGUAGUCGGACAGCAGGGGUGUAUAGGGGGAUUCAAAAUACUUCUUAAGUACUCCCUCCGAUCCAAAUUAUUCCAAAGUUUAGGAAAUAAGAGAAGGAAGGAUUAAUAAGAAAUAAAAAUAUUGAAAUGCUCCUCCUGUCCUACAUAUAUUGUUUUUACCUUUUCAUGACUGUAUUUUGGGGGGAGUGUGGAUUUUCUAUCAUGCACGGGACCUCCCGUGCAUGCAUCCAUCACAUUUUUUAUUGCUGUGUGGGGCCCCUAUUUUCUCUCACCUAACAUACAUUCACAUGUUAAUUUGUACUGACUAGGUUUCAUUCACUAGUGCAGAACAGGCCUUUAUCACUGGUUCAUAAGGGCCUUUAGUGCCGGUUCUGUAACCGGCACUAUGGAGUGGAGACUAAAGGCCCCCCUUUAGUACCGGUUCGGCACGAAUCGGCGCUAAAGUGCCACCACGUGGCACGAGCCAGUCCCGGGUGCUGGUAGACCAUUAGUACCGGUUGAUAACACCAACCGGUACUAAAUGUUUGGGGGGGUUUUGGUUUUAAUUUUUAAUUUUUCAUUAACUUUGGGUUUUCCAUUUAAUUCUUUUUUGUUUGCUGGUAUUUUACGAUACUACAUAUUGUACACGUUAUGCAUAUAUAUAUAAAUAGAUUUUCUCGUAGAACUGAUCAUAUAUAUAAUCGAAUGUCUCACAACCACCAUUAAUUAUUCACACAUACACNNNNNNNNNNNNNNNNNNNNNNNNNNNNNNNNNNNNNNNNNNNNNNNNNNNNNNNNNNNNNNNNNNNNNNUUUGCUGGUAUUUUACGAUACUACAUAUUGUACACGUUAUGUAUAUAUAUAUAAAUAGAUUUUCUCGUAGAACCAAUCAUAUAUAUAUAUAAUCGAAUGUCUCACAACCACCAUUAAUUAUUCACACAUACACAUGUAUAUAUAUAUAUAUAUAUAUAUAUAUAUAUAUAUAUAUAUAUAUAUAUAUAAUUUCUCCUCCAUGUUGCCUUGGUGCCUUCGGAGCACGAUGACAAGUGGUUCAUGGAGACGGUAGCGGGUAAUAGUAUUUUCCUUUGGGAUCUAUGACCUGCUCGAGCAAAAAUCUCGUUAUUUCCUCUUGAAGUGCUCGUAUGCGCUCUGUUGGUAGGAGCUGGUCCCGCAUGUCUUUGAACCGUUAAGAAGGAGAUCAAUAUGCAUGUGUAUUAGUUGUGUGACUAGAUAUCGAUAAUCAUGUAAGAUUUGUGAAUAGUGUUCUGGCAAACGUACCCAUUGUUGUCUAUCAUAUCUGCUCCUUUCGGACGCCAUUAUGCGAAUGUUCUUGAAAACGUAGUAUGCACACACUUCAGUCCCCGGCGCCUGCUUCAGGGCCUUUACGAGAAUAGAAUUUAAUCAGAUAAUAAUUAAUCAAGUGUGUUAAUUAAUUAAUGGUAUUGAAACAAGAAUUAAAGAGAUGGUAGCUAGCUAGCUAGUACUACUUAAUUACUUGCCUUGGGUCGAUACCAAAAUAGCUUUUGUCGCCAUUUUCCUGAAGUCACCUUGAUGUACUUUACCCAAGCCCUUCCCGUCGGCAAAGAAAAUUGAUAAAGGGGUUAUUAAAAAUAGUUCAUAUCAGGAAAUGAUAAACUAAAUAGGCCAAGAUAUAGUUAAUAAUGAUUGAAAUUACCUGUUGACUAUCCCUUCAUUAUGCUGUAGUCACUAUCUUUUUUAAGUAGUGAGUCCAGUACUUCAACUUUUCCUUCGUCAACUUUAAUGUCUAACAAGAUCCAGUGGUACCUGCAUACGCAUAAGUUUGCAUGUAUAAAUUAAGCGGGCAUGUGCAUAACACUAAUCAACUAUAACCCUAAACCCUUUACACUUAUUAACAUCUAGCUAGUAAGCAAAAACAGAAUUUGUAGUACAAGACAGUGUGACUCACUCGAAGUUGUAAGGAAGUAGUACAUCUUCAUUGCUAUUGAGGUGCUUCAAGAACUCUAGCAUGUUUUUCUCUACAUCUUGUCUACACCAUUCCAAUUUCCAUGUGUAUUCAUUAACAGUAUUUGGGUCAAUGAACCCAAUGCCAUAGCGUCUAGCUUUUUUCAUUUCAUACAUCUUCAUCCUGCAUAAUACCACAGAAAAGAAUAUAUAGUGAGGAUAUUUAAUUACAGGUAAUUAAUGAUCAAUCAAUGAGCACUAGAGCUAGCUUGAGACUUAAAUUACAGAAAGAAAUCACUUACAGACAAUAGCAACUGACGAUAGAUUUGUCGAGUGCAUCUUGAUUGAAUAACUGAAAUAGUUCUGAAUACUCAACAGUUAGAGCUUUCUUAUUGAAGUAAUGAUCUUCCUUGACUUGCACCAUGAGGGACUCUCAAUUGGAAAUCUUGAUAAUUUUCAUGUACCAAUCAUGCAAUUCAUACAUUCUCGUUGGGAGGUUCUUGACCUCCUCGGGCUCGACCAAAGGUUGGCCCCGGACAUAUUUCCGUUUUAUUUUCUCCUCUCUAAGCAGAGACAUGGGCUCGAUAUCGAGGAGUUGUCCAAUAGUGAUCUUGAGCAUUUCAGCCUGCAUUAUAUGAUCCUCGGUUAUUACCACACCACCCACCUCGGGAACGUAAAUGGUUGCGCCGCCUGUUCUCCCAGCUGGGGAACGGUUUUCCCGUAUUUUUUGACAGCUGCUUGUUGGCUCGAGCUCGAGCUCGCUUCUUUCCGUAGUCGUGCUCGAUGUGCCUUUCUGAUUUGGCGCUCAUAGUCUGAGUCAACAGGCUUGGGAGCUGGUGGCCUAGCCAUACGAAUGAAGUGGUCAAUAUUUUUCCUCAGGCACUUUCUCCCUCGGCGGCGUUGCCGGUUUCGGUCCAAAAUGGGCGUCCACUUGGGCCUUCACUAUGGCUGCAUUUUGCUCCUCGGUCAUGUUGUAAGGCCUCUGAGGAAGAGGAGCGAGGCUGCUUGGACCAUAUUUAUAUCGCUUGUCUCCGCCUGUACUUCCUGUACUACCUUGACUCGUACCACUACGCACCAUAGCUGCGGCGUGUCUCUUCUGCGAUUGCUGAGGCGGCGGAGACGGCUGACGUUGCUGAGUUGGAGCAGGAGGAGUGGCCUGACGCUGUGCCAGACUUGAAGCAGGAGGUGUGGCCACUAGUAGAAAAAGGGUCAAAUGUGAAGCACAUUAGUGCCGGUUUGUGAAAAAACCGGCACUAAUGUGAUCAAUAGUACCGGUUCGUGGCGGCGAUCAAUAGUAUCGGUUCGUGACGAACCUUUAGUACCGGUUCAUGCCACGAACGGUACUAAAGAGGAUGUGGCAGCCUGCAGUCAGGCUAUGGCCCCACCAUCACCAUUUAGUGCCGGUUCGUACCACGAACCAGUACUAAUGAGGUUAUGGCAAGCUGUUUUUAGUCCCACCUCGCUCCCCUAACAAGGCUUUUACCACCUUAAAUAUGUUACUUCUCAAACUAUCACAAGCACUUGGUCUUCAUUGAACUCUAUGUGUAGAAUUUGUGGCUGCAAUAUGAGUCUUCACCGGUUUAUAAAUCGUUGAGGACUCAUAUUGACAAUUCAGAUUGUACACAAAAAGAUCAUUGAUGAUCAAAGUAUUUUUAAUGUAUAAGAUCAUAGUGACAAUUCAGACUGUAAAGAAAUAUAAUAUCAUAAUCUAAAUGCUCUUAUAUUUUUUGCAUUCAGUAUGCACCAUUCAAAGCGACGCCAUCAACUUUCAACCAUUUAUGCCUUCAUUUGCUAUUUUUCAUGCAUUUAAUGAUUUGUUUUGAGAACUAAAUAACCUGGAAAUUGAAAAGCACUACAAAUGAACUCUGAAAAAGUUGAAACUUGGCAUGGUAUCAUCAUUUCACCCACAUAGCAUGUCCAAAAAAGUAGAGAGGGUUAUGGCAAAAACUGGAUGCACUUCGUUUACAAACUGGACAAUCUCUUUCGAAGUAUUUGGGUUUUGACGAAAUUAAACUCAUCUGUUACAAAGGCAUUUCAUUUUUUAAACUUAUUACAACCCCAGACUUUUUGUUCAUUAGUAUGCACUAUUCAACUACUAGGCGGGAGGAGCUCUUUAGUACCGGUUCCAACUGCUAAGCGGGAGGAGCUCUUUAGUACCGGUUCGUGGCGAACCUUUAGCACCGGUUCGUGCCACGAACUGGUACUAAUAAGGUUGUGUUAGGUAAGGCUGGGGCCCCACGAGCACCUUUAUUACGGGUUCAUGGCAUGAACCAGUACUACAGUUUCUUAGAAAGCUGUUUUUUAGUCCCACCUCGCGAAGAGAGAGGGACUAGGAGCGGUUUAUAAGCCCUGAGUGCAGAGACGAUGAAGAAGAGGCUCAAUGCUCACGUUGCUUAGCUUCAAGCCUUGAGGAAUAUGGUAGACUGCAUGGAGCUAUGUGCAAUGCAGUUUACACUAUUCCGAAAGGCUUGAAACUAAUUAACGAGCAUUGCAUCUCUUUUUUAUUUUUAAUAACUUAUUACAACUCCGGACUUCUUCUGUUAUGGCAAAAACUAGAUGCACUUCGUGUACAAACUGGACAAUCUCUUUUAAAGUAUCAGGGCCGGUUUCAGACGAAAACUCUGGUUAUAACUCCAGACUUUGACCAUCAAGUUUUAACCAUCAACUUGGCAUGGUAUAUGAAAAUAAAUGAAUAGAAGAAAAUAAAUAAAGCAGAAAAGAAAAAAACUAUAGCAGAAAAUAAAAAACUAUAUAAAAAACUACUCAGAAAUAAAUAGAAGAAAAUAAAUAUAGCAGAAAAGAAAAAAACUAUUCAGAAAUAAAUAGAAGAAAAAAUAAAGCAGAAAAGAAAAAAAACUAUAUUUGCUAUUUUUCAUUCGUUUACUGAUUUUUUUAGAGAGCCAAAUGACCGUGAAAUUAAAAAUCACUACAAAAUAAACUCUGAAAAUGUUGAAUUUUGGCAAACUAGAUAAAAAACUACUCACAAAUAAAUAGAAGAAAAUAAAUAUAACAGAAAAGAAAAAACUAUACAAAAAACUACGCAGAAAUAAAUAGAAGAAAAUAAAGCAGAAAAUAAAAAAACUAUACAAAAAAAUUGGGGCGCUGCCCAAUGGGCCUGCUAGGCCACGGGCGUGCAAUUACAGGCCCUAACGGCCCAACAGGCUCACAGGGCAGCGCACAGAAGUUAGGCCCAGAAGCCUGCUAUAUAUAGGAGUUCAAAGAGGCAGCCGCGGCUGGGUUUAUAAACCAGUGAGGCUGCCCUUCGCACGGGGAGAUGGGACUAAACGUCGUGCACCGCGGGUGGCAGCGCAAGGCCUUUAGUAUCGGUUGGUGGCUCCAACCGGUACUAAAGCUCGUGCCUUUAGUACCGGUUGGAGUCACCAACCGAUACUAAAGGCCAUCGGUUCCCGUCGUUUGGCCUGGCGAAAAUAGGCCUUUAGUACCAGUUGGAGGCACCAACCGGUACUAAAGGCCCAUCCUAUAUAUAUAGCACUUACGAAAUUUUCAGUUUCAUCCCCCACUUCGUCUCUCGAACCGCGUGCGCCGCUCGAUCCCCGUCGUGUCGCCGCACGUCGCCCGUCGUCCGUCGUCGUCGUCGCUGUCCCCCGCCGCCGCCCGUCGUCGUCGUCGUCUCACGCCGCUGCCCUGAACGCCGCCGCUGUCUGUCGUCGUCGCCGCGGCGCCGCCCGAUACGUCUCUCCCCGCCCCGUACGCCGACGCCCCUGCCCCCGCCCCGUACGCCGCCGCCCCCGCCCCCGCCCCGUACGCCGGCGCCCCCGCGGCGUACUGCACAUACACACACACGUAUACAUAUACACGCAGUACACACAUAUACACACACAUACACAUACACAUUUUUUUACUAGUUGAAUAAUUUAUAUAAUUAAUAUAACUAGUUUAUUUUAGUAAGAAAAUAAUCGAACUAGUUUAUUUAGGUAUAUGAGAUUUGAACUAGUUGAAUAAUUAAUAUAACUAGUUUAUUUUUAGUAAGAAAAUAGUCGAACUAGUUUAUUUAGGUAUAUGAGAUUUGAACUAGUUGAAUAAUUAAUAUAAAGAAAAUUUAGGUAUCUGAGAUUUGAUGAUCUAAUUAAAAUAUUAUUUGUUAAUGAGUUUUUCUGUUUAUUUAAUUUUUUUUAUAUAUUUUUAGUUUAUAUAAAUGUUAGAUUAAUGUCGAAUGUUAAAUGAAUUAGAUAGAAAAGUUAAAUAUAUAGUAAUGUCAAUUGUUAGAGAUGAAUAUAGUUAGAUAUAUUAAUGUCAAAUGUUAGAUGAAUAUAUAUAUUUGAAUUAGCUAGAUAUUAAUUAAUGUUAGAUAGUAAUAAGUGUUUAAUGUUUCACUUAUAUGAACAUAGGAAAUGUCAUCUGACAACGAAGAAGAUUUCAUUAUGUGCGAACACUNNNNNNNNNNUCUCCUACAUGUUGCCUUGGUGCCUUCGGAGCACGAUGACAAGUGGUUCAUGGGGGCGGUAGCGGGUGAUAGUAUUCUCCUUUGGGAUCUAUAACCUGGUCGAGCAAAAAUCCCGCUAUUUCCUCUUGAAGUGCUCGUAUGCGCUCCUCUGAUAGGAGCUUGUCCCGCACCUAUUUGAACUGUUAAGAAGGAGAUCAAUAUGCAUGUGUAUUAGUUGUGUGACUAGAUAUCGACAAUCAUGUAAGAUUUGUGAAUAUUGUUCUGGCAAACGUACCCAGUCCUGUCUAUCAGAUCUGCUCCUUUCGGACGCCAUCAUGCGAAUGUUCUCGCAAACGUAGUAUGCACACACUUCAGUCUCCGGCGCCUGCUUCAGGGCCUUUACGACAAUAGAAUUUAAUCAGAUAAUAAUUAAUCAAGUAUGUUAAUUAAUUAAUUGUAUUGAAACAAGAAUUAAAGAGAUGGUAGUUAGCUAGCUAGUACUACUUAAUUACUUACCUUGGGUCGAUAUCAACAUAGCUUUUGUCGCCAUUUUCCUGGAGUCACCUUGAUGUACUUUGCCCAAGCCCUGCCCGCCGGCAAAGAAAAUUAAUAAAGGGGUUAUUAAAAAUAGUUCAUAUCAGGAAAUGACGAACUAAAUAGGCUGAGAUAUAGUUAAUAAUGAUUGAAAUAACCUGUCGACUAUCCCCUUCACGAUGCUGUAGUCACUAUUUUUUUAAGUAGUGAGUCCAGUACUUCAACUUUUCCUUCGUCAACUUUAAUGUCUAAUAAGAUCCAGUGGAAGCUGCAUGCGCAUACGUUUGCAUGUAUAAAUUAAACGGGCAUGUGCAUAACACUAAUCAACUAUAACCCUAAACCCUAUACACUUAUUAACAUCUAGCUAGUAAGCAAAAACAGAAUUUGUAGUACAAGACAGUGUGACUCACUCGAAGUUGUAAGGAAGUAGUAUAUCUUCAUUGCUAUUGAGGCGCUUCAAGAACUCUAGCAUGCAUUUCUCUACAUCUUGUCUACACCUUUCCAAUUUUCAUGUGUAUUCAUUAACGGUAUUUGGGUCAAUGAACCCAAUGCCAUAGCGUCCAGCUUUUUUCAUUUCAUACAUCUUCAUCCUGCAUAAUACCACAGAAAAGAAUAUAUAGUGAGGAUAUAUAAUUACAGGUAAUUAAUGAUCAAUCAAUGAGCACUAGAGCUAGCUUGAGACUUAAAUUACAGAAAGAAAUCACUUACAGACAAUAGCAACUGACGAUAGAUUUGUCGAGUGCAUCUUGAUUGAAUAACUGAAAUAGUUUUGAAUACUCAAUGGCCAGAACUUUCUUAUGGAAGUAAUGAUCUUCCUCGACUUGCACCAUGAGGGACUCUCGAUUGGAAAUCUUGGUAAUUUUCAUGUACCAAUCAUGCAAUUCAUACAUUCUCGUUGGGAGGUUCUUGACCUCCUCGGGCUCGACCAAAGGUUGGCCCCGGACAUAUUUCCGUUUUAUUUCCUCCUCUCUAAGCGGAGGCAUGGGCUCGAUCUCGAGGAGUUGUCCAACAGUGAUCUUGAGCAUUUCAGCCUGCAUUAUAUGCUCCUCGGUUAUUACCACAUCGCCCAGCUCGGGAACGUAAACGGUUUGCCCACAAUAAUAUUGGGCGCGCGUACUCUCAUGUGUUGUUGGCACAACAAGCGAGGGGGGGGGGGUGGUCGAUUGCGCCGCCUGUUCUCCCAGCUGGGGAACGGUUUUCCCGCAUUUUUUGACAGCUGCUUGUUGGCUCGAGCUCGAGCUUGCUUCUUUCUGUAGUCGUGCUCGAUGUGCCUUCUUGAUUUGGCGCUCAUAGUCUGAGUCAACAGGCUUGGGAGCUGGUGGUCUAGCCAUACGAAUGAAGUGGUCAAUCUUUUCCUCAGGCACUUUCUCCCUCGGCGGCGUUGCCGGUUUCGGUCGAAAAUGAGCGUCCACUUGGGCCCACACUAUUGCAUCGUUUUGCUCCUCGGUCAUGUCGUAAGGCCUCUGAGGAAGAGGAGCGAGGCUGCUUGGACCAUAUUUAUAUCGCUUGUCUCCGCCUGUACUUUCUGUACUACCUCGACUCGUACCGCUACGCACCAUAGCUGCGGCGUGUCUCUUCUGCGAUUGCUUAGGCGGCGGAGACGGCUGACGUGGCUUAGUUGGAGCAGGAGGAGUGGCCCGACGCUGUGCCGGACUUGAAGCAGGAGGUGUGGCCUGACACGGUGUCGGACUUGAAGCAGGAGGUGUGGCCUGACGCCGUGCCGGACUUGAAGCAGGAGGUGUGGCCUGACACGGUGGCGGACUUGGAGGAGCGGGAGUCUGCUGACACGGUGGCGGACUUCGAGGAGGAGUCGGCAGACGCGGUGUCGGUGGACUUCGAAAGAUGAUGCAAUCCUUUUUCCAUAGGAUGAAACGAUGUAUGGCCUCUCCCAGUGUUUGCUCGUCGUCACCUCCAGGAAUGUCAAGCUCUAGCCCCGAAUAUGGGCCCACCACCUCAUCAACCAAGACACGAGCAUAGCCCUCUGGAAUCGGGGCACAAUGGAAGGUUGCUCCGGGGGUAAUUGUAAAAGCAACGGCGUUCGCCACCUUCAUGGAUAUGUUCUUCAUUUUGUAGUGUAGCUCACAGUUAGUGUUCUCUAUGAUGUCAUCCACAGGGUAUGUAUCCAGCAGUGCGUCGCCCGGGGCGGAACCAACGCUGCUUCUCGGCAUGGAUGGGACGGCGCUAUCCAAUGCUGGAUGAUCAUCCGCUUGCUGCUGCCGCUGCUGAGACCCCCUUUCCUGGCUAAGUGAGUCGAUCUGCUGCUGUUGCUGCUGCUGGAAUUUGAGUGCCAAGUCCGCGUGCCUUGCUUCUAGGCCUUGAAGGCGUUCCGCGUCCUGCUUCCUCUGCUCCUCCUCCAGCUUCCUCUUCUUCUCCUCCUCCAUCUUCUUUCUUGCACGGGUCCUGUAGUCGUCGUUCCAUUCCGAAAAGCCCUCAUACCAGGGAAUAACGCCCUUGCCUCGCGUUCUUCCCGGGUGUUCAGGAUUUCCCAGGGCACGCGUAAGCUCGUCGUUCUCUCUGUUGGGCGUGAACACCCCCUUUCGAGCAUCUUCUAUUGCGUCAAGUAACUUUUCUUCUGCUCCGUUUAGACUUGCCUUCUUCGAAACCAGGCCUGUCUUCGGGUCCAACGCCCCCCCAUGCGCAUAGAACCAAGUUCUGCACCUGGGGGGCCAGCUCCUAGUAACCGGAGUGACCCCUGCAUCCUCCAUCUCUUGCUCAGACUUAUCCCACUUAGGCAUUGCCACCGCGUAGCCACCUGGACCCAGCCUAUGGAACUGCGUCUUUUUUGCGGCAUUGGCCUUGUUUUUUCUCGACGUUCCUUAGAUAAUUCUGAUUCCUUGAAUUUCACGAAAGCGGGCCAGUGUUCUCUUUGCUUCUCCAGUGUUCCCUUGAAUUCUGGAGUCUUCCUUUCUGCAGUGAGGUAGUUGGCCCAUACAGUUUUCUUGUGGGUGUUGAAUGCAAUUGCCAUCUUCUUAAGAGCAGCGUCCUUGACUUUCUGCACAUCUGCAUCAGUGAAAUAAUCUGAUAGGGUGAAAUGUUCCAUCAGAGAUUUCCAAAGCUUUUGUUUUGCUCUGUCGUCGACCCAAGUAAUAUCUGGGCGUUUAGUUUUUGGCUCUUUCCAUUCUUGAAUGGAGAUCGGGAUUUGGUCCUUCACAAGAACUCCGCACUGACGAACGAACUUGCUCGCAAUGUUCUUAGGCGUGAGGGGUUCGCCACUAGCUUUGAUGGAAUCGAUGUUGUACUUUACACCCUCCUUCAACUUUUUGCUCGGGCCGCGCUUUGUCCUGCUGUCUGUAGAAGCAGAUUUGCUCGAUCCGGAGGGCUGAAAGAAGAAAGAUCGAUUCGUUAAUAUAUCUUCAAAUAAAAAAACAUGUGAUGAUCACUAGAUGACUGCUUAUAUAAAUAUACCUCGCCGGUAGUCUUUGUUAUUUCAAGAUCAACAUUGUAUUCGUCAUCAUAAUCAUUGUCUGCGUCAUCAUAAUCAUAAUCAUAGUUCAUGACUUCAUCAGCUCGGUCGUCGAGAUUGAAUAUCUUAUCAUCACCCUCCCCGGUAUUGUUCAGAUAUUGGGAGCCGUCAUUUGCUUCAUUUAGAUCAUCUGGCCUGCUAGGGCUGCGUAUGAUCUCGAACAGGGCCUCUUCUCCCUCUCUGCCGGUAUUGUCCGCCAUAGCUUUUAUUUAACUAAUACAAAAGAAAUAUAAAACAAUUAAGUAUUCAAAUUACAAUGCAUGGAUGCAAUCAAUAAGGAAAAACUGAAUCAUAUAGUACAUAAUAUGCAUCGUCUCGAAUAAUAUAUAAUCUCGAAUACAUCGUCUCGAAUAAUAUAUAAUCUCAAAUACAUCACUGGCUAGGUAGCUAAUAAAGAUCGAAUACUAUAGAAGAAUCUAGGCCACUCGCGGUUCCUGGGGCGCGGGCGGUGGACACCCAAAGACAAGGAACCAUCACAGAAUCAUAUCUCUGGUCAUCUGCCCAAAGAACCUGCCAGGUAUUGGAGAACCUGACGUCCAUAGCAGCCAUGUAGCGAUGGACGUGCUCGUCCUCCUCCCUGACACGACGACGCACCACCUCUGGCGGGGCCGGCUCCCUCUGCACCGAAUGUGGCCCACGCGAACGCCACUAAAGGAGAUCAGGGUCGACAACGGGACCCGAGGCUGGGUCCCUCACCAAGCGGCGCGCCCCUCCAGGUAGCACCUCCCAAUGCCAGCCCGGCGGAGCCCAAUCCCGGACAUGGGUCAGCCGGACGUCGUCGCGAACGGGUCGACGGCGAGGAUGCAGGCCGGGCAUCGUCGAGAACAAAUACUAUAUGCCCGCAAAAAGUAACAUUUUUUAAAAGAUUGGAUUGUGAUAACUAAAAUUCUAUAUGCAAAUUCUAACAAUUUGACAUUAAUCUAAUUCAUCUAACUAAAACUAAUUCUAAAAUUUCUAACAUUUCUAUAUAUAUAACUAACAUUUCUAUAACAUUUCUAAUAUUUCUAUAACUAAAAAACAGAAAAAUUGCUACGAUGACGCGGAUGGCGACGAGGGGGGCAGCGACGGGGGCGGCGACGACGGGGACGGGGACGGCCGGGGCGGCGACAACGGNNNNNNNNNNNNNNNNNNNNNNNNNNNNNNNNNNNNNNNNNNNNNNNNNNNNNNNNNNNNNNNNNNNNNNNNNNNNNNNNNNNNNNNNNNNNNNNNNNNNNNNNNNNNNNNNNNNNNNNNNNNNNNNNNNNNNNNNNNNNNNNNNNNNNNNNNNNNNNNNNNNNNNNNNNNNNNNNNNNNNNNNNNNNNNNNNNNNNNNNNNNNNNNNNNNNNNNNNNNNNNNNNNNNNNNNNNNNNNNNNNNNNNNNNNNNNNNNNNNNNNNNNNNNNNNNNNNNNNNNNNNNNNNNNNNNNNNNNNNNNNNNNNNNNNNNNNNNNNNNNNNNNNNNNNNNNNNNNNNNNNNNNNNNNNNNNNNNNNNNNNNNNNNNNNNNNNNNNNNNNNNNNNNNNNNNNNNNNNNNNNNNNNNNNNNNNNNNNNNNNNNNNNNNNNNNNNNNNNNNNNNNNNNNNNNNNNNNNNNNNNNNNNNNNNNNNNNNNNNNNNNNNNNNNNNNNNNNNNNNNNNNNNNNNNNNNNNNNNNNNNNNNNNNNNCGGGGGCGGCGGGCGACGGGGCAGAGGAGAAGAAGCAGAUGAAAACUGACGAAAUUUCUAAGUGCUGCUUAUAUAGGAUGGGCCUUUAGUACCGGUUGGAGCCACCAACCGGGACUAAAGGUCAAAUUUGGCCAGCCCAAGCGGCGGGAAGCGCACCCCUUUAGUACCGGGUGGUGGCACCAACCGGUACUAAAGACCCCCCUUUAGUACCGGUUGGAGCCACCACCCGGUACUAAAGGGUGUGCGCUGCUAGGCGAGGGGCGCAGAAGUUUAGUCCCACCUCGCUAGUUGAGGAGCGCCAGGACCAGUUUAUAAGCCCCGAUGCGGGCACUGCAUUGAGCUCCUCUCAAUAGUAGGCCUUCUGGGCCUACCUCUCCUACUCUGCCUGUGGGCCUACUGGGCUUGCGGGCCUGCAUCCUGGCCCAACUACAGGUUGGGUUUCUAGUCGUAUGCAGGCCGCUCUGGCCGAGUAGGUGGGCUUUUUUAUUUUCUUUUUUUUUUACUUUAUUUAUUUUUGAGUUGUUUUUUGCUGUAUUUAGAGUUUCUUUGGGAAUAUUUUUGCUUUAGGUACAAAAAAUUACAAAGUUUCUGUUAAUGCCGGUAGUUUACAAAUUUGAAUAGUUUAUAUUUUGAAUUAUUUGAAAUUUGUGUGAAUCACUAGUUUGUGAAUAACUUAACUUUGAAAAUAGAUUUUCAGUGAUUCUUUUAUCUUAUGUUUAAUAUUAGUGUGUUUUAUCAUUAUAUUCAAUUUGGUAAUGCUUAGGUUAUUUAAAAAAUGAAAUCCCUUUGUAACGGAUGAGUUUUUGUCCGAAACCCUGAUACUUCGAAAGAGAUUGUCCAUUUUAUACACGAAGUGCAUCCAGUUUUUGCGGUAACCCUCUCUAUUUUUUUGCACAUGCUAUAUGGGUGAAAUUAUGAUACCAUGCCAACUUUCAACCUUUUCUGAGUUCAUUUGAAAUGCUUUUCAAUUUCAGGGUCAUUUAGCUGAAAAAAUCAGUAAAUGCAUGAAAGAAUUUGUUUGCACAUAAAAUUUCUUCGCGUUUCAAAUGUCAAAACACAUAACUACCCUAACUAUUACAGAGAUUCCUUCCUGGGUGUGAAACACAGAAGAAAUUGAUGAUAGUGAAGCCGAUCACAUCCCAGAUCUUUGGGUGUGUAACUUUUUCUUCGCAUAUGUCCCUUUGCGCCGUAGCCAUGGAAAAUCUUCAUCAUUUAACUGGAUGCUCGGGUCAAUAUUCACUGUGAAUGGAGCAAUUUCAUCAAUCUUUUCAUAAUCUUCUGACAUGUCUGUCUUGUCAUCCACUCCCACGAUGUUUCUCUUCCCAGAAAGAACUAUGUGGCGCUUUGGCUCAUCGUAUGAUGUAGUCGCUUCCUUGUCUUUUCUUUUUCUCGGCUUGGUACACAUAUCCUUCACAUAGAAAACGUGUGCCACAUCAUUAGCUAGGACGAAUGGUUCAUCUGCAUACGCAAGAUUGUUGAGAUCUACUGUUGUCAUUCCAUACUGCGGGUCUUCCGUUACCCCAUAUCGUGUCAUAUUGACCCAUUUGCACCGAAACAAAGGGACCUUCAAAUCACGUCCAUAGUCAAGUUCCCAUAUCUCCUCUAUGUAACCAUAAUAUGUUUCCUUUCCCGUCUUGGUUGUUGCAUCAAAGCAGACACCACUGUUUUGGUUGGUGCUCUUCUUAUCUUGGGCGAUCGUGUAAAAUGUAUUACCAUUUAUCUCGUACCCUUUGAAAGUCAUUAUAUUCGUAGAUGGUAACUAGGACAGCGAGUACACAUCAUCUUCAAUAGAGGCGUCAUGCAUGGUACGUGUCUGCAACCAGCCGGCGAAACUCCUGGUUUGUUCACGUGUAAUCCAGUCAUCAGACCGCUCCGGGUGUUUGGAGCGUAGAAAAUUCUUGUGUUCGUCCAUAUACGGAGCCACCAAGGCGGAAUUCUGUAUAACUGUGUAGUGUGCUUCAGUGAGAGAAUGUCCGUCCAUACAUAUUUUUUGAUUCCCUCCUAGCGUGCCUUUUCCAUCUAGUCUGCCCUUAUGCCGCGAUUCAGGAACACCAAUCGGCUUAAGGUCAGGAAUAAAGUCAAUACAAAACUCAAUGACCUCCUAAUUUUCAUGGCCCUUGGAGAUGCUUCCUUCUGGCCUAGCACGGUUAUGAACAUAUUUCUUUAAGACUCCCAUGAACCUCUCAAAGGGGAACAUAUUGUGUAGAAAUACAGGACCCAAAACACUAAUCUCUUCGCAUAGGUGAACUAGGACGUGCGUCAUGAUGUUGAAGAAGGAUGGUGGGAACACCAACUCAAAACUGACAAGACUAAUCGAACGUUGAGGAAUGCACGCAUAGCUUCACAAUGGCUAAUCGAACGUUAUCCGGUAGAAGCCCCCUCAAUGCAACCGGAAGCAGUUGCGUCAUAAUCACGUGGCAGUCAUGAGACUUUAGGUUCUGGAACUUUUUCUCUGCCAUGUUUAUUAUUCCCUUUAUAUUCGACGAGAAGCCAGACGGUACCUUAAUACUGAGCAGACAUUCAAAGAAGAUUUCCUUCUCUUCUUUGGUAAGAGCGUAGCUGGCAUGACCCUGAUGUAUGCCGUCUUUUCCAUGCAUACGUUGCUAGUCCUCCCGUGCCUCAGGUGUAUCUUUUGUCUUCCCAUACACGCCCAAGAAGCCAAGCAGGGUCACGCAAAGAUUCUUCGUCACGUGCAUCACGUCGAUUGCAGAGCGGACCUCUAGAUCUUUCCAAUAGGGCAGGUCCCAAAAUAUAGAUUUCUUCUUCCACAUGGGUGCGCGUCCGUCAGCAUCAUUCGGAACAGGUUGUCCGCCAGGACCCUUUCCAAAGACUACCUUCAAAUCCUUGACCAUAUCAUGUACAUCAGCACCAGUACGGUGGCGAGGCUUCGUCCGGUGAUCCGCCUCACCUUUGAAAUGCUUGCCUUUCUUUCUUACGGGAUGCCUGCUCGGAAGAAAUCGACGAUGUCCUAGGUACACAUUCUUCCUACAAUUGUCCAAAUAUAUACUGUCGGUAUCAUCCAAACAGUGCGUGCAUGCGCGGUAUUCCUUGUUUGUCUGUCCUGAAAGGUUACUGAGAGCAGGCCAAUCAUUGAUGGUCACGAACAGCAAGGCCUUUAGGUCAAAUUCUUCCCCCAAGUGCUCAUUCCACGCACGUACACCUGUUCCAUUCCACAGCUGUAAGAGUUCUUCAACUAAUGGCCUUAGGUACACAUCAAUGUCGUUGCCGGGUUGCUUAGGGCCUUGGAUGAGGACUGGCAUCAUAAUGAACUUCCACUUCAUGCACAACCAAGGAGGAAGGUUAUACAAACAUAGAGUCACAGGCCAGGUGCUAUGGUUGCUGCUCUGCUCCCCAAAAGGAUUAAUGCCAUCUGCGCUUAGACCAAACCAUACGUUCCUUGCGUCAUCUGCAAACUCCUUCCCGUACUUUCUCUCAAUUUUUCUCCACUGCGACCCGUCAGCGGGUACUCUCAACUUUCCGUCUUUCUUACGGUCUUCUCUGUGCCAUCGCAUCGCCUUGGCAUGCUCUUUGUUUUGGAACAAACGUUUCAACCGUGGUAUUAUAGGAGCAUACCACAUCACCUUGGCAGGAAUCUUCUUCCUGGGGCACUCGCCCUCGACAUCACCAGGGUCAUCGCGCCUGAUCUUAUAGCGCAAUGCACCGCAUACCGGGCAAGCGUUCAAAUCCUCGUACUCACCGCGGUAGAGGAUGCAGUCAUUAGGGCAUGCAUGUAUCUUCUGCACCUCUAACCCUAGAGGGCAGACAGCCUUCUUUGCUUCGUACGUACUCUCGGGCAAUUCGUUGUCCUUUGGAAGCAUAUUCUUUAUCAUUACCAGCAACUUUCCAAAUCCCUUGUCAGAUACACCAUUCUCUGCCUUCCAUUGCAGCAAUUCCAGUGUGGUGCCCAACUUUUUCUUGUCAGCUUCGCAAUUCGGGUACAACAAUUUCUUGUGAUCCUCUAACAUGCGCUGCAACUUCUUCUCCAAAUCACUUGCGCAGUUUCUCUUUGCAUCGGCAAUGGCCCGACCUAGAUCAUCAGCGGGCUCAUCUGAUGCCUCUUCUUCAGCUUCUUCCCGCAUUGCCGGCUCAGCUUCUUCCCUCAUUGUUGUAUCAUCGUAUUCAGGGAACCCAUGGCCAGGAUAGUUGUCGUCGUCCUCUUCUUCUUCAUUGUCUUCCAUCAUAACCCCUCUUUCUCCGUGCUUGGUCCAAACAUUAUAGUGGGGCAUGAAACCAGGACUUAAACAGGUGGACGUGAAUGGUUCUUGACGUAGAGUAAUUGUGAUCAUUCUUACAGACUAAACAUGGACAAGGCAUAAAACCAUCCGCCCGCUUGUUUGCCUCAGCCGCAAGCAGAAAAGUUUGCACGCCAUUAAUGAACUCGGGAGAGCAUCGGUCAUCGUUCAUCCAUUGUCGGCUCAUCUUCAUUACACAACACCGAAUAGACCAAAUUAAUACAAGUUCAUACAUAAAGUUCAUACAAGCCUUAAAUGCAACAAACAAAUAACUCUCUAACUAAAAAAUUUAAAUGCAACAACAAAUGCGAUCAAGAUCGCAACUAAGGUGACAAUUGAUCCAACAACAUAAUGAUACCAAGCCUCACUAUCAAUGGCAUAUUUUCUAAUCUUUCUAAUCUUCAAACGCAUUUUCUCCAUCUUGAUCUUGUGAUCAUCGACGACAUCGGCAACAUGCAACUCCAAUUCCAUCUUCUCCCCCUCAAUUCUUUUCAAUUUUUCUUUCAAAUACUCGUUUUCUCUUUCAACUAAAUUUAACCUCUCGACAAUAGGGUCGGUUGGAAUUUCCGGUUCACAAACCUCCUAGACAAAAAUAUCUAUGUCAACUUGAUGGGCAUAAUUUGUCAUAAACACGAAAUGCAACAACUAGUUUUAAAAGAGAAUAUACCACAUCCGAAUCAUAAUAAGGAUGAGGGCCGACGGGGACGGAUAUCAAAACCAUGGCACUAUGUAUAACAAACAAUGUACGGGUAAGAUAAUUAUACGAGUAACUAUAUAUCCAAAUCACACAAACAUCAAUUUGGUAAUGUAAAACAUUCAUGAACAAGAGGCUCACCACAAGGUGGUGCCGGCGACGGAACGGUGUGGGCGAUCGACUGUGGUUACGAUAGAGAUUUAGAAGGCACUAAGUAAACCACACCUACAUAUGCAAACUAAGUGUUAGUUUUGACCACAAAUUGCAUAUAAGUCAAAUACUAGCACAUAUAUUUUCUACCAAAUUACUAAACUCAUAAAUUAAUCACUAUACAAAGCAUUGCAAGAGCUAAUCUAGCAAUGAGAGAUGAAAGGACAAAGUUGCUAACCUUUGUGGUCAUUUGAAUGGAUGGGGGCCUUCAAAUCUUGACAAAUUUUGGGCAAAAUGUGUGAUGAGCUCGAGAGGAAGAGGGGAAGAACAUAGAGGAGAGGGGAAAGGGGAAGAACAGAGCGAGCUCGGGUGGACGAAAGGCUUAUGUACGACGACCUUUAGCAUCGGUUCGUGCCACGAACCGGUACUAAAGGUGCUGGAGGGGCCCCGGACUGACAACAUCCUUCCACCUCUCACUUUAGUACCGGUCCGUAGCACGAACCGGUGCUAAAGGUCGGCCACGAACCAGUACUAAUGAAAGCAGCUGGCUAGCCGUUGGAACCGGCACUAAUGCACACAUUAGUGCCGGCUCAAAAGCAAACCGGCACUAAUGUGCUUGACAUUUGACCCUUUUCUACUAGUGAUUCAAGUAAAUAGAUGCCUAAUGCAUGUUGAAAUAAAAGUUUGCUUUACAUUCUGUUUGCACAAUUGUGUUUUUUACAAAGUCUUUAAAACAAGACCAAUAUUGAAUAUAUUUUUAGAAAUUAAUUUUUGACAACUAAAUCACCAUGCUUCGAACUUGUUCCAUACAUAUUUAUUAAUUCCAUGUGAAAAUUUUAAUAAUGUACAUUUCACAAAUUAUUAUCUUAUUGUUUCACUAUGGCUCCCCAUGUUCCGUUGCAUUUCAUAAUGAUACAUUGUGUGCCAAUGUGUAUCAAACUGAUUCUUAGUAAUCUAAAAGUUUGUAAAUAUUAAUAUAUUUUAUUGCAACAAAACUUUGGCCUUAUCUAGUGUUUAACAAAACAUGGCAUAGUUAUGUGUACUCUUAUAGUGUUUCACUAUGUUUCAGAAUUUAAAUUUUAAAAAUUAUUGAAAUAUAUUCAAAAGUGGUCUCUUUUCAAAGGUCUCGUUGUCAAAAACACAAAUAUGAAACCGGAUCAUAAAUUGUACUUUUGGUUCAUAAGACCAAUUAGAUUUGAACUUGGAAAUAAAAUGAAAAAGUAUGAAAUGGUGGAACGUAGGUGGAACAGUGUACUUGCAUGUGAUGAAAGAAAUAACUAACUAACUGCCAGCGGUAUAAAUGCAUGGCAUCGGAUCUCCAAACAAACCAACGGCGCAUGCAUGCACGGUACCUCCCGUGCAUGGGAGAUUAGCUUUUCUCUAUUUUGGGGGAUACUGUGCCAGUUCAGACUUGGCGUUUGGCAGCGUGGCCUGUUCAUGUGUUUGAUUGGGCGUAGUAGUGUGUGGGUACUUCAGUUAGAUGGUAUGCAGCGGAUCGAGUCUAUCGACCGUGUGGCGAUGCCUGUAGAUUGUAGCACUAAAAUAUGAUGCUCAUUCAUAAACUAAUUUAGAUAAAGCCGCAAAAAAAAUGUGCUAGUUUUUUUUUGUGCUCACAUACUCUGUUUUGUCUCAGUUUUAGUCCAGGGCAACUUUGAAGCUUAUCUUAGGGUGGUAGCCAGAAAAAUGUGUUAAAGACCUUAUUAAGAAGUGAAGAAGAAUAGGCGUCUCCAGUUUUUGUUUCUCCAACUCUAUGCCUACACUGUAAUAUUAUUGAUGGAUUAGCUCCAGUUGAUGCAACUGUACUCUUUCUGGUAGGUCUGAGAUGCGAGUGAGCCAGAUCGAUCCUGAGCUAGCUACUUGUCUCCCUUAAGUCUUACAGCAAGACAAAUGCACUGGACUACAAAGAGGAAAUUCCUGCAGGUUCGUAAUGCAUCUGUUUUGGUUCUGGCAUUUGUCAGAUGUGUAUAGUCCCUUUUCGGUUCUUUCCCGUUGUAUAAGGGGUUUCCUGCAUUUCACCACACAUGUAUAUGUAAUGGCCUUUGACCCUCAGUGAAUACUAGUUGCUGUUUAUCCAACAUGGUAUCAGAUGUUAGGUUCCUCUCUCUCCUGCACGCUGCAACUCCGUGCUAGCUCGCCUCCCCUGAUUCGCUUCGUCCCCUUGCCAUCCGGCUGAUGCUGCUCUCUGGCCGAUUCCGGCUGCCCCCGACCUGAGCUCCGCCCGGUCCUCCUCGUCGUGGAUCCGCCGGGGCCUGCUCGAUCCGGCCUCCCCGGCCUAUCCACGGCCAGGCUCGGCCACCCCUCGCCGCGGAUCCAACCGGGACCUGCUCGUCCCGUGCUCGGCCGUAGCCCUCCUUGCCGCUCGGCCACCCCGCGGAUCCGCCUAUGCCCGACCGGGGCCCUCCUCGCCGUGGAUCCGGUCUCUCCGGCCCGUCCAAUGCCAGGCUCGGCCCGGCCGCCGCCGCCUCCUGCCGGCCGGCCGCCGUCGCCCCUUUCUCCGCCUCGCCUUGGAUCCGGCCGGGGUCUGCUCGUCCCGUGCUCGUCGGGUCCUUGCUUGGCCGCUCGUCUGCCUGGCCGCUCGUCCCGUGCUCCUGCACUCGGGUUCGGCCCUCUGUGGUCAAUGUGUGUUGCCUAUAGUUGACCCUGUGUAAAAAAACCCAAUGAGCUCGUCAUGUCUCCGUCAGGCUAUGUGGCUGUUCCUCGGUGCUCGGUGAUCUUCGAUGGCACCAACUAUGCUGAGUUUGUGGGUUUCAUGCGCAUUCACAUGCGUGGUCUUCUCCUGUGGGGCGUUCUCUCUGGCGAGGUUCCAUGUCCGCCUUGCCCUGUUGCUCCUGUGGCUCCUAUCCCGCCGGUGCCGCCUGUUCUUGCUGUUGAUGCUUCUCAGGCUGAUCGGGAUACAGCCAAGGCCCUUGACGAUGCCGCGGUUGAUGCUUAUGAUCAGCAGGUAUCCGCCUACUCAGAUGCUCUUUCUGCUUACCGAAACGAUUUGUCUGCUUACACUCAGUGGUGCAACGAUGAUGCUCGAGCUACUGCUGUUCUCACUUCGAGUGUCUUACCUCAGUUUGCAUCUGAGUUCAUGGGUCUCAGUAUUGUUGCUGCGAUGUGGUCCUAUCUUUGUCAGUGAUAUCAGCCCUCUGGUGAUGCUCUCUACUUAUCUGUGGUGCAUCAGGAGCACGCUCUUCACCAGGGUGACCCUUCUGUUGAUGAGUUCUACUCACAGAGCUCUGCCAUCUGGCGCCAGAUUGACUCUCUCAGGAUAGUUGUUUGUGGUUCUUGCCGUUGUUGCCAGACUGUACGGUCAGACUUGGAGUUUCAUCGUCUCCAUGAGUUCUUAUCUCACCUUCAUCCAGAGUUUGAGCCUCGGCGUGCUCACCUGCUUGCUCGUGGUCGUGUUCCUAUUUUGGAGGUGCUUGUAGAGCUUCCUGCCGAGGAGACACGCCUCCGUUCUGCUGGUCUGCUUGUGGUUCCCACUGUGCUUGCUGCCCGAGCUCCUGUGUCGUCUGCUCGCCUCACCACUCGACCACUCCUGCCCACACCUCCAGGGGGUGGUUCACCCUCCUUCAGGCGAGGGUCGAUCGCGCUCGCACACCUUCCGUGGCUACUGCAACAGGCCAGGUCACCCAAAGUCUGAUUGUCACAAGAAGCGGAAAGACCUGAAGCGCUCUUCUUCUAGUGGGACUCGUGCGUCUUCCUCGACUUCGUCGCUCAUUGACCAGGAUAUUGUGCGGCUCAAGCGCAUGUUGGCUUCCUCUGGUUCUUCCUCGACGGGUUCUGUUGCCGCUGUGACUACCACUACCACUCCGCCGCCGUCGGAGCCUACUCAGUGAGGUACAUCCUCGUGGGUUCUGGAUUCUGGAGCUUCUUUCCAUAUGUCUUUUGACUCUUCUGCUUUAUCUUCUCUUCGACCUCUUGAUUUUCCUCUUAAUGUUCUCACUGCCGAUGGCACACCCCUUCCUGUUACUAGUCGUGGCAUUCUUUCCACUCCGUCUUUUUCGGUUCCUAGUGUUUCUCAUGUUCCUCGUCUUACCAUGAAUCUUUUUUCCGCUGCCCAACUUACUGAUUCUGGUUGUCGUGUCAUUCUUGAUGCCGACUCUUGUUCUGUUCAGGAUCGUCGCACUCAGGCUCUGGUUGGCGCUGGCCCUCGGCGCGGUGAGUCUAAGGGACUUUGGGAGGUUGACUGGCUUCGUGUUCCUUCCGCUGCUACCACAUACACCAGCUCUCAUGCUCUUGUUGCCUCCUCUUCUGCGUCCUUCCAGCAGUGGCAUCAUCGACUUGGUCACAUCUGUGGCUCUCGCUUGUCCUCCUUAGUUCACCAAGGCGUCUUAGGGUCUGUCUCUGGUGAUGUUUCGUUGCAUUGUGAUGGUUGUAGGCUUGGAAAACAGACUCAGUCACCUUAUCCUACCAGUGAGUCUAUAUCUCAGCGUCCUUUUGACUUAGUUCAUUUUGAUGUAUGGGGUCCUGCUCCUUUUGACUCGAAAGGGGGUCAUCGCUAUUAUGUUUUGUUUAUUGAUGAUUUCUCUCUCUACACUUGGCUUUAUUGUAUGAAAUCUCGCAGCGAGGUUCUCCCCAUAUACAAGCGUUUUGCUGCCAUGGUUCGCACUCAAUUUUCCACGCCUGUCCGUAUCUUCCGUGCUGACUCAGCUGGAGAGUAUAUCUCUCACAUGUUGCGUGGUUUUCUUGCGGAGCAGAGUACUCUUGCCCAAUUCUCUUGCACUGGUGCACAUCCUCAGAAUGGCGUUGCUGAACACAAACAUCGCCAUUUGCUUGAGACGGCUCGGGCGAUGAUGAUCGCCGCCUCUCUUCCACCCCAUUUUUGGGCUGAGGCCGUUUCAGUAUCCACCAGCUCGUCAACAUUCAGCCAUCGGCUGCCUUGAAGGGUGGUAUUCCUAUGGAGCGUCUCUUUGGUCCUGACUACUCUGCUCUUCGCAUGUUUGGAUGCAUGUGCUAUGUUCUCCUUGCUCCGCGAGAACGAACCAAGUUGACUGCUCAGUCAGUUGAGUGUGUUUUCCUUAGCUAGAGUGAUGAGCACAAGGGCUAUCGCUGUUGGGAUCCUGUUGGUCACCGACUGCGCAUUUCGCGUGAUGUGACUUUUGAUGAGUCUCGUUCUUACUAUCCGCAUCCCUCCUCCUCGAGCUUUUCCGUGGAAGAUAUUUCCUUUCUUCUCCUUCCCGACACAUCUCCCUCUGUGUCUCCUGUUAUUCCCUCUCCCCCGAUGAGUCUCCCUACACCAUCGGUACCAUCAUCCCCUCCCUCCUCCUCCUGUCCCUCGUCAUCUCCCUCCCCACCCUCCUCCCCAGUCUUUCGCCCUCACUCCCCUUCUCCUCUCCACUACACUCGUCAUCCUCAUGCUGUGGAUGAUCCUACUGAUGUGCCCUCUACUUCCGGUGCACCUCCUCUCACGCCUACACCGGUCCAUAACCUUUGCGUUAGGCCUUGUCCCCCACCUGAUCGCUAUUCUCCUGACCAGUAUGGUCUUUCUGCCAUUGCUGAGCCCACCACCUAUCGAGCUGCCAUGACUCGGCCUGAAUGGCAGCUUGCCAUGGCCGAGGAGCUUGCGGCGCUUGAGCGCAAUGGCGCGUGGGAUCUGGUUUCUCCUCCUUCUGGUGUUUGUCCCAUCACGUGCAAGUGGGUCUAUAAGAUUAAGACUCGCUCUGAUGGUUCUCUUGAGCGUUACAAAGCUCGUCUUGUGGCUCGUGGCUUUCAGCAGGAACAGGGGCGUGAUUAUGACGAGACUUUUGCUCAUGUGGCCCAUAUGACCACUGUCCGCACUCUACUUGCUGUGGCUUCUGUUCGUCAUUGGCCUGUGUCUCAGCUUGACGUUCAGAACACCUUUCUCAAUGGCGAGUUGCGUGAGGAGGUUUAUAUGCAGCUACCACCGGGGUACUAUGCUCCUGAUGGUAUGGUCUGUAGACUUCGCCGCUCCCUCUAUGUGUAGGAUCGGAAGUAUGUCUAGAGGGGGGGGGGGUGAUUAGACUACUUGACCAAAUAAAAAUCUAGCCUUUUCCCAAUUUUAGUUCUUGGCAGAUUUUAGCAACUUAGCACAAGUCAAACAAUCAACCUACACAUGCAAUUCUAAGAGUAUAGCAGCGGAAAGGUAAAGCAAUUGCAUAUGAAGGUAAAGGGAUGAGUUUGAGGGAGCAAACGCAAUGUUGACAUAGAGAUUUUUUAUCCGUGGUUCCGAUAGGUGGUGCUAUCGUACAUCCACGUUGAUGGAGACUUCAACCCACGAAGGGUAACGGUUGCGCGAGUCCACGGAGGGCUUCACCCACGAAGGGUCCACGAAGAAGCAACCUUGUCUAUCCCACCAUGGCCGUCGCCCAUGAAGGACUUGCCUCACUAGGGUAGAUCUUCACGAAGUAGGCGAUCUCCUUGCCCUUACAAACUCCUUGGUUCAACUCCACAAUCUUGUCGGAGGCUCCCAAGUGACACCUAGCUAAUCUAGGAGACACCACUCUCCAAGAAGUAACAAAUGGUGUGUUGAUGAUGAACUCCUUGCUCUUGUGCUUAAAAUGAUAGUCUCCCCAACACUCAACUCUCUCUCAUAGGAUUGGAUUUGGUAGAAAGAAGAUUUGAGUAGAAAGCAACUUGGGAAGGCUAGAGAUCAAGAUUUAUGUGGUUGGAAUGGAAUAUCUUGAACUCAACACAAGUGUAGGUGGUUCUCUCUCAGAAAAUAUGUAUUGGAAGUGUAGGCAUGUUCUGAUGGCUCUCUCCACGAAUGAAGAGUGGGUGGAGGGGUUUAUAUAGCCUCCACACAAAAUCUAACUGUUACACACAAAUCACCAAACUCGGUGGGAGCGAUUCAAAGAACUCGGUCAGACCGAUUUGGUUCAUAAUGUGAACGUUAGGAUUCUCGGUGGGACCGACAUGUCAACUCUGUGGGACUGAUGUCAUUAGGGUUAGGGCAUAACGUAAUCUCGGUGAGACCGAUUACACAAACUCGGUGAGUCCGAUUUUGGUAAUAGCCAAACAGAGUGUUGGUCUGGCAAACUCGGUGGGACCGAUUCGCUCAUCUCGGUUGGACCGAAAUGUUACGAAAGGGAAACAGAGAUUUUGCAUUGUAAUCUCGGUGGGACCGAUCGCUCAUCUCGGUUUGACCGAAACGUUACGAAGGGAAACAGAGAGUUUGCAACCCCAUCUCGGUGAGACCGAGAUCCCUAUCGGUGAGACCGAAUAGAUUAGGGUUUCUGGCAGUGGCUAUGUCAACUGAACUCGGUGGCUCUGGAUGGAAAGAAUCGGUGGGGCCGAGUUGGACUUUUUGGUUUAGGACAUAUGUGGAUAUGAGAAAGUAGUGGAGGGUUUUGGAGCAUAUCACUAAGCAUUUUGAGCAAGAAUCUCAUUAAGCAACACCUCAUCCCUUCUUAAUAGUAUUGGCUUUUCCUAUAGACUCAAUGUGAUCUUGGAUCACUAAAAUGAAAAAUGUAGAGUCUUGUGCUUUGAGCUUGAGCCAAUGUUUUGUCCUUAGCAUUUUGAAGGGUCCACUUCCUAAUCCAUGCCAUGCCAAACAUUGAGCUUUCCUAAAAUAUUUAUCUUGGAAUAGCAUUAGCUCAGUGAGCUAUAUGUUGUUAGGAAUUACCAAAACCACCCAGGGAUAGUUGCACUUUCAAUCUCCCCCUUUUUGGUAAUUGAUGACAACAUAUAGAUCAAAGCUUCGACAAAUGAUAAAUAAGAUUGAAAAACAUCGUCGCUUUGAGAAGUAUGUGAUAAGCAAGAGCUCCCCCUAAAUUUGUGCAUUAUUUAAGAUUUGCUUUUGAAUGCAAAUGCACAAUCGAUUAGGAUCAUGGGUUACUCUUCCAUGUCACAUACAUCUUGGUGGAGCACUCAAAUGAUAGAGAUUAAAAGCAUGCACUCAUCACCAAGCAAAGUGAAUGAUCAUAAUAGGAUAUGAAAGAUAGCAUUAUCCAACAAGCAUUAAGGGUAGCAUAUGAUCAAACACUUGACCAAAUAAGUAUCUCACAAGGACACAAAGUAGUAUCACACAAGCACGCAGUAAAGUUUCAAACCAACCAAAAAAGAGUGCAAAGAGAGAUAAAAACCAACACUCUCUCUCUCGAAGCCUAUGAUCUAUACAUUUUUCUCCCCCUUUGGCAACAAGUUACCAAAAAGUUUGAAAAUGCAUAGUUCUAAACGACUCUCAGGCUUGAUCUUCGGGAGGUGGUGUUGAGAGAACGCCAAGGACGAAGGCUUCUGAUGAAGUGGCUGGAGCUGGUGGAGUAGCUACUGGCGUUGGAACUGGAGCUGUGGCUGCUGGUGCUGAUGUUGUAGCUCUAGUGUCUGUCACUGGCACUGCAGUAGAUCUCUGUCCUCUGGGCACUCUAGCAAAUGCAUCUGUGGUAGACUUGCCCUUCUUCUCCUCUGCUUCCUCCUGAGGUUGCUCAACUGCUCUUUGGAUCUCAGUUACCUUGACAUCAAGGUCAUAGAAUUUUGUCUCAACAAUCCUUUCCAAGCUCUCCUGGUUCUUGGUCAGGGUGGCCAAGCCCUGCUCAAUCCUCAGAGUGGAUUGGAUCAGAUAUGCAAGCUGGUCGUGCUUGCUCUUCAAGAAUACAUGAGAUGCCUCUUCCAUAGUUGGCAUCUUUGCAACUUUCGCAGCUUUAGCCUUCUCUCUCUUUUCUUGUGCUUGCACAAAUGAUGGUUCAUUCUCAGUCAUGACAACAGUGUUGUCCUCAAAUUCAGGAUAGAUGGGUAGAUGCUCCUUGUCCAAGAUGUACUUGCCUUUGCCCAUCUUUGAGUUGAUGAGCUCCUGGAUGUGUGGGGCAUAUCCACAACUUCGCUUCUGAUCGGCUGCAGUCCUCUUGAUUGUUUCCACAAUCAGGCUCAUAACCUUGAAUUUUUGUGGGACAUCAAAUAUGUGCAGCAAGUUGAUAGCAUGUCCUCUGAUCAUCUUGUGAUCACCUGACUUGGGUAGAAGUGUGUGCCUCAGAAUCCAAUUGAUUGUUGGCAGACCAGACAACAAAUAGUGUACAGAUCCAAACUUAUGUGUGUCCAAAGCAUCAUCAGGGAUCUCUUCGUACAUAUUUGCCAUAGAGUUGUGGUCUUUCUUCUUCUUGUCAUAGACAUCCAAGUCAUCCUCAUGUUCCUCAGGAGCAUUUAUUAGUUUUGCCCAUUCUUCAACUGUAAACUGGUACCUAGUACCCUCAGACAUCCACACAAUCCUUCCAUCUGGAUAGAAGUGUGCAGUGGAGUAAAAUUGCAUAAUGAGCUCAUCAUUCCACUUGGUGAACUUCCGAGCCACAAACUCAUCAACUCCACAUGCCUUGAAGUUUUCAUAUACACCAGGGAAGUGAUCCUCAUUUUCCUUAAUGAAUUUCCAAUCAACCCAUCUCAUGUCACACACUAUGGGCUUCUUGUCAAGUAAGGCAGCCUCAUAGAAGUCCUGUUGUUCCUUAGUGUGGAAUGUGUAGUCCAUAGUAGUCCUUCUCCUGGUGGCAUAUGGAUCAGACUCUCUCCAUAGCCUCAAUCCUGAAUCCUUCCUGAUUUUCAUGUUCUCUGCAACUGGGUGUGCAUCAUUGUGAUCAGGGAUCUUGGGCUUCAGCUUUCUCAAAAUGACAGAAUCAUCUUCUUCUUCUUCAGCAGCUUGAGGCACUGGGGCCUUGUUCUUCUCCUCAGCAGGGAUGUUCCUAGUGCUCCUCUUGGGUUUUGGUUUUGGAGCUGGAGCAGCAGCCUUGGGAGCAGCUUUGGGCUUAGAUGGAGCAGCCCCUGAUCUGAUUGCAUCUCCCAUGAGCUUUUGAGCUUUGGGUGCUGGUGCAGCAUCCUCUUCCUCUUCCUCUUCAGAAUCUUUCCUCAUUGAGGGCUUCCCAAGAACUCUAGAAGUAGUGGUUCUGGCCCUCUUCUUCUUCUUAUCCUCACCAGCUGCUUCUUCUUCAGAUUCAAUGGUGAACUUCAUAGUUUCACCUGUGGCAACUUUUCUUGGCUUAGACAUGGGCUGUCUUCCUGCUGGCCUCUUUGUUUUCAGACCUGGCUUAGUUGCAGCAGCUGAGCCAUACUCUUUCUUCAGCACUUUCUUCUUUGAAGUGGCUUCAUCUUCAACAGCCACAUAGUCUUCAUCCUCAGAGUCAGAAGUUCUCUUCUUCCUUGACCUGGUGGCAGCUUUUGGCAAGUUGCUUGGAGUGCUCCUGCUGCCUUCAUCAUAGCUGCUAGAGGGACUAGUGCCCUCACUCAACUGAACCUGUUCCUCUGACUUGUUCUGGCUGUCACUUUGGUCAGACAUCUUGCAGGCAAACUGUCAGCAGACCCUGUGAACAGGUUAUAGAUGAGGUAGAGUAGAUGAGCAUCACAAAGCACAGGAGUUUUUGCAAAAUAGAUGACUUAAAAACUUAGUUUUAGUUCUUCAUAGAAAGCAUUUCGGAUCUACCGUUUUGUAAACUCGGUGAUACCGAAGCAGCUUUUGGAACCUGAACUAGUGAACUCGGUCAGACCGAGUCACAGUUCGGUGGCACCGAGACUGCUAGGGUUUCACAGAGAAUUGAACUCGGUCACACCGAUUUGCAAUUUUCGGUCGGACCGAAAAUGCGUGUGCUCUGGCCUAAGCCAAAAUCGGUGAGACCGAUUUCUACAACUCGGUCGGUCCGAGAUGAAUUCGGCGGAGACCUAACCCUAAAUUUUCAAAUCAAAACUAAUCUACGGGACGUUUUCGCUGGACAGGAUGAUUUCAGUUGUGGCAAGAAACAUGGCAAAGCAAUGUGCUAAGAAUUGGAGUUAAAGAUUAGCACAAUGAUAAAGUCCGUACCCUAGUGCGGCGACGAACUUGCUACGUCGGCAACGGCGGAGAUGAUUUCCGUUGACGGCGGCGGAGACCAGCGGCGGGAGGACGCUGGCGACGAGAGGACGAUCCGGAGACCAGAGGAGGCAGAGUAGGUUACGCGCGGGCGAAGGGGUUCGGAGAAAUUUCCAAAUUUUGACCCAGCGGUAUAUAUAACCUGACCCUGUCGGUGUGACCGAGUGGAACGACUCGGUGGCACCGAGAUGCAAAACUGCAAGCAGUUACUGCAACUCGGUGUGACCGAAAUGUUCUAAUCGGUUGCACCGAGAUUGAAAACUCUAGAUCAACUUGGUGACUCGGUAGGACCGAAAAGGAUGAAUCGGUCAGACCGAGGUGCACAAAGAGGUUUGGAGGUUUAAGUCUAUGACGAAUCGGGAUCUCCGAGUGCUCCUCACACAGAGUGGUUCGAAUCUGACUUGAUCAAACUUUGUGAUGUAGCAUGAAUAGAGUUUGAGACGAGAAAAGCAUAGAUAGCUAGAGGGUGUUCUUAGGCAUUCUUGUCCAUCCAUUUGGCAAAAGAGAAAGAGCCAAACAAUCAAAACAACAAAUGGAUGUCCUCGAAUGAGUAAAAUAUGCAACCAACAUGCUCACACAAUAAAAUGGCAAAUGAAAUAUGUGAAAAAGCAUGCACAAACAUUCUAGCAUCUAUCAAGCAAUUGGCGAUGACUAGGUCAUCUAUAUAUGAGUAUAUUGACUUAGGAGUCAAAUGAGAACAUUUGAUCAUAGGUCAUACUCAUCGUUUAAGCACAAGUGGGGUUACCACUUUUACAUAAAGAAUUGUUGUGUUCACACCAUUAGAGUUGCUUUAGCUCAUUGAUUUGAGUAAAGCUCCCCCUAGAUGUGAUAUUCCCCCUAAAGGGAAUGAACUAACCUUGGGUUUUGUCGAUGAUGACUUCAUGUAGGUGUUGAAGAUGUAGAUGCUCAAUGUUGAUGUAGAUCAUUUGGAGCAAUCCUUUGGAGUGAGUUGCGCUUUCAAUACCUUGUCCCUUGUCUUACCAACAAGAGGGUUUGUGACUCCUUGAACUAGUGCAAGAUAUGGAAGUUGUUUGCACUUGUCCUUGCCAAAAUGAUAGGAGUGAAGUAUGUUGGCGGAGUCACCCUCAAGAACUCUCUAGUUCUUCUUCUUCUGGAUCCACACCAUCUUGAUGGGAACCCUUGGAGUCGUAGUUGUACUUGAUGAAGUGGAACUUGAUGUAGUCUUGGGAACCCACUUGACAAAGGCCUUAGGUGCUUCUUCAAAUGCAUCAAUUUCCUCUUGAAGCUUAUCCUUGCAUUUUUGCUUGUGGUCUUGUGGUGGAAGAUCAUCUUGAGCUUGUGUUCCUUUGAGAGAAGUAGGAUCAUACUUCUCUUGUUGAGGAACAAACUUCGUCUUGGGGUAUUGAUCUUCUUCCCACUCAACUCCAUUGGCAUCGAACUUCCGUUCAAAACCAACACCUUGAUUCUUCCGGUGUCUUCCUUGCUUGCGCACAAUUUCCUCAAAAUGCUUACUUCCGGCAAGACUCUUGUAAACACCUUUCUCUAUGAUUCCCUUCAAUAAGCUAUUUUCUUGCUCAAGUGUAACUAGGCUAAGAGAAUCAUUAGUGGAAUCAAGAGAACUACUAGAAGCAUCAACAUUGGAUUUAGCAUGAUUGUUGUUACUACUAGAUGAAGAAUCUUUCUUGUUCUUGUUGCUAGAUUUAACUUGUGGCAUGUAAGUAGACAAGAGUAAACGCUUGGCAAUGUAAGAAGAACUUUUCUUGCGAAGAUCAUCAUUGAUUGCCUUUAAAAACUCAUGCUCUUGCUCAAGGUUGAGCUUUUCAAAGCGUAGCUUAUCAUGAGUCUUUAAAAGUUCUCGAUGAUUUUCCAAGGUAGUUUCAUGAGCUAACUUAAGAGUGUUUAGUUCUUGAGUUAGACGCUCAAUCUCCUUCUUAUCUUCAUCAUUCGUUUUAUCUUGAUUAGCAUGUUUAAUUGACGUUUCAUCAUAGUUUUCUCACUAGAGUUGUCAACAAGUAAAUCAUCAUCACCUAGCAAAUCAUCUUCAUCACUAUUGAAAUCAGAAUACUCGGGAUGUGUUACCUUUGGACCUUUGGCCAUGAAGCAUCUUCCAAUUCCUUCAUUUGGUGAGUCAAAUAUAUCAUAGGAGUUGGUUGUCACAACUGUUAGACCGGGAACACCUUCAUCUUGAGUAUAUUCGGAGUCGGAGUGAUAACUUCUUUCGGAGUGAUUGUCGGAGUCGGAGCCGGAUACCCAUUCACCAACAUGAGCUUGAUGUCUUCUUUUUGUGUAGCUCCUUGAUGACUUUUCCUUUCUUUCCAAAUCCUUGCUUCUCCGAGAGGGUCUUUGUCCAUAACGAUCAUCUCUACUCCUCCUUUCUCUCGGUGGUGAUUAUUCUCUUCUACUUCUUCUUUUGGGAGAAUCUUCUCUUCUUUUGUAGGGGGCCGUACACUCAUUGGAGUAGUGUCCGGGUCUUCCACAAUUGUAGCACUUACGCUCACGACUAGAAGAUCUUUUGUCAUUGUAGGACCUUGACUUGGAACCUAUUUCUUUGCUUCUACUUUUGUAGAACUUGUUGAAGUUCUUCACCAUUAAGCUCAAUUCUUCAUUGAAGGUUUGUUUCUCACUUGAAGAUGUGGGAGUAUCACAUGAGGCUUUGUAAGCACCACUUGACUUGUUGUGAAGCUCUUCCUUAUCCUUGAGUGACAUCUCAUGAGCAACAAUUCUUCCAUUGACUUCCGUUGGCUUGAGAUCUUUGUAACUGGGCAUCAUUUGGAUCAAUGUGCACACGGUAUCAUAUUUUCCAUCCAAGGCUCUUAGGAUCUUCUUGAUGAUGAAUUUGUCGGUCAUCUCUUCACUUCCUAAGCUGGCAAUCUCAUUUGUGAUGAGAGCAAGCCUAGAGUACAUUUCAGCGAUACCUUCACCAUCCUUCAUUUUGAACUUGUCAAGUUGACUUUGAAGCACAUCCAAUUUGGAUUCCUUGACGGAGUCGGUACCUUCGUGCAUAUCAAUCAAAGUAUCCCAAAUUUCCUUUGCAUUCUCAAGACGGCUGAUUUUGUUGAAUUCUUCGGGGCACAAUCCGUUGAAGAGAAUAUCACAAGCUUGAGCAUUGUAUUGUAGCAUCUUCAACUCUUCCGCGGUAGCUUCAUGGUUCGGUUCUCUCCCAUCAAAGAAUUCACCUUGCAAGCCAAUACACACAAUAGCCCAAACGGCGGGGUUAUGUCCAAGAAUAUGCAUUUUUAUCUUAUGCUUCCAACUAGCAAAAUUAGUGCCAUCAAAGUAAGGACCUCUACGGUGGUAAUUUCCCUCGCUAGACGCCAUACUCUCCUAGGUUGUGAAACCAAGGCUAUGACCACCAAAAGCUAUGGAAAUCAAAGCAAAUGGAGACCAAAGCUCUGAUACCACUUGUAGGAUCGGAAGUAUGUCUAGAGGGGGUGAUUAGACUACUUGACCAAAUAAAAAUCUAGCAUUUUCCCAAUUUUAGUUCUUGGCAGAUUUUAGCAACUUAGCACAAGUCAAGCAAUCAACCUACACAUGCAAUUCUAAGAGUAUAGCAGCGGAAAGGUAAAGCAAUUGCAUAUGAAGGUAAAGGGAUGAGUUUGAGGGAGCAAACGCAAUGUUGACACGGAGAUUUUUUAUCCGUGGUUCCGAUAGGUGGUGCUAUCGUACAUCCACGUUGAUGGAGACUUCAACCCACGAAGGGUAACGGUUGCGCGAGUCCACGGAGGGCUCCACCCACGAAGGGUCCACGAAGAAGCAACCUUGUCUAUCCCACCAUGGCCGUCGCCUACGAAGGACUUCCCUCACUAGGGUAGAUCUUCACGAAGUAGGCGAUCUCCUUGCCCUUACAAACUCCUUGGUUCAACUCCACAAUCUUGUCGAAGGCUCCCAAGUGACACCUAGCCAAUCUAGGAGACACCACUCUCCAAGAAGUAACAAAUGGUGUGUUGAUGAUGAACUCCUUGCUCUUGUGCUUCAAAUGAUAGUCUCCCCAACACUCAACUCUCUCUCAUAGGAUUGGAUUUGGUAGAAAGAAGAUUUGAGUGGAAAGCAACUUGGGGAAGGCUAGAGAUCAAGAUUUAUAUGGUUGGAAUGGAAUAUCUUGAACUCAACACAAGUGUAGGUGGUUCUCUCUCAGAAAAUAUGUAUUGGAAGUGUAGGCAUGUUCUGAUGGCUCUCUCCACGAAUGAAGAGUGGGUGGAGGGGUAUAUAUAGCCUCCACACAAAAUCUAACCAUUACACACAAAUCACCAAACUCGGUGGGAGCGAUUCAAAGAACUCGGUCAGACCGAUUUGGUUCAUAAUGUGAACGUUAGGAUUCUCGGUGGGACCGACAUGUCAACUCGGUGGGACCGAUGUCAUUAGAGUUAGGGCAUAACGUAAUCUCGGUGAGACCGAUUACACAAACUCGGCGAGUCCGAUUUUGGUAAUAGCCAAACAGAGAGUUGGUCAGGCAAACUCGGUGGGACUGAUUCGCUCAUCUCGGUUGGACCGAAACGUUACGAAAGGGAAAAGAGAGUUUGCAUUGCAAUCUCGGUGGGACCGAUCGCUCAUCUCGGUUUGACCGAAACGUUACGAAGGGAAACAGAGAGUUUGCAACCCCAUCUCGGUGAGACCGAGAUCCCUAUCGGUGAGACCGAAUUGAUUAGGGUUUCUGGCAGUGGCUAUGUCAACUGAACUCGGUGGCUCCGGAUGGACAGAAUCGGUAGGGCCGAGUUGGACUUUUUGGUCUAGGACAUAUGUGGAUAUGAGAAAGUAGUGGAGGGUUUUGGAGCAUAUCACUAAGCAUUUUGAGCGAGAAUCUCAUUAAGCAACACCUCAUCCCUUCUUAAAAGUAUUGGCUUUUCCUAUAGACUCAAUGUGAUCUUGGAUCACUAAAAUGAAAAAUGUAGACUCUUGUGCUUUGAGCUUGAGCCAAUGUUUUGACCUUAGCAUUUUGAAGGGUCCACUUCCUAAUCGAUGCCAUGCCAAACAUUGAGCUUUCCUGAAAUAUUUAUCUUGGAAUAGCAUUAGCUCAAUGAGCUAUAUGUUGUUAGGAAUUACCAAAACCACCCAGGGAUAGUUGCACUUUCACUAUGGUCUUAAACAGGCCCCUCGCGCCUGGUUCGAGCGCUUCGCCUCUGUGGUGACUACCGCUGGUUUCUUGCCAGUGAUCAUGAUCCCGCGUUGUUUGUUCACACGUCUCCUCGUGGUCGGACUCUUCUCCUUCUCUAUGUUGAUGACAUGAUCAUCACUGGUGACGACUCUGACUACAGUGCCUUUGUUAAGGCCCGCCUUCGCGACCAGUUCCUCAUGACUGAUCUUGGUCCACUUCAAUAUUUUCUUUGGAUUGAGAUCUCCUCGACCUCUGAUGGCUUCUACAUCUCCCAGGAAAAAUACAUUCAGGAUCUUCUUGCUCGUGCUACUCUUGGUGAUGAGCGCACUGUUGUGACUCCUAUGGAGCUCAACGUUCAGCUUCGUGCCUCUGACGGUGACCCUCUUCCUAAUCCUACUCGCUAUCGCCACCUCGUUGGCAGCCUUGUCUACCUUGUUGUUACGCGUUCCGACAUCUCCUAUCAUGUUCAUAUACUGAGUCAGUUUGUUUCAGCACCCACCUCUGUCCACUAUAGUCAUCUCCUCCGUGUUCUCCGAUAUCUUCGUGGCACUUUCUCUCAUCGCCUUUUCUUUCCCCGCUCAAGCUCUCUUGAGCUCCAGGCCUACUCUGAUGCUACAUGGGCUAGUGAUCCCUCUGAUCGACGCUCGCCGUCUGCAUACUGUGUCUUUCUUGGUGGCUCUCUCAUUGCCUGGAAGACAAAGAAAUAGACUAACGUUUCUCGCUUGAGUACAGAGGCUGAGUUGCGAGCCAUGGCUAUGUUGACGGCUGAGGUGAUUUGGUUACGGUGGUUAUUUGAGGAUUUUGGAGUGCCUGCUACUACCUCGACUCCCUUACUGUCAGAACCGGUGCUAUCAGUAUUGCGCGUGACCCGGUGAAGCAUGAGCUCACCAAGCACAUCGGUGUGGAUGCCCACUUUGUGCGUGCUGCUGUGCAUGAUCAGACUCUUGCUCUUCACUAUGUUCCCUCUGAGUUAUAGUUGGCGGACUUCUUCACGAAGGCACAGACUCGAGUGCGGCAUGGUUUUCUUCUCUCCAAACUCAGUGUUGUUGAUCCACCAUGAGUUUGAGGGGGGUGUUAGAUGUGUAUAGUCCCUUUUUGGUUCUUCCCCAUUGUAUAAGGGGUUUCCUGCACUUCACCACACAUGUAUAUGUAAUGGCAUUUGGCCUUCAGUGAAUAUUAAUUGUUGUUUAUCCAACAACAUUCACGCCAAUCAUAAAACAGUGUUUGUUAGUAGUGGAGUGGUAGGCGGACGCAAAUCAAACCAUCAUUUUUCUUCUAAUUACACUUGUAAAAGCAUCGAUGCAUCUCCGUCGCUUAAUUUUAUUUGUCAUUCUGUUCAGUACCUGGUUUGGUUCAGGAAGAGCUCUUUUUCCUAUGCAAAAUGUAUAACGUAUAUGCUCCUAAUUCUGAUUGCAGACAUAUUCAUCGCGCUAGUGUUUUGACAUGACGCGGGGAACCAAGAGCCGUUCAACAGCGCGUUUCUGGGAUACGCCACCGGUCUGGCACUAAAGGUAGCGGUGAUGAUCUGGUUUCAAGCCGCGCUGCUAAUAUAUCAUGGCAUCUUGCAGCCUGCUCUGUUGCACAUCGUUCCUGGCGCAUGACUGGUUUGGUCGCCGUUCACUCUCCGUGGAAUGGAGAGGUGAAAGCGGGCAAGUAAGCCUGUCUACUUUGUCCCUUUUGUGUAGUGCUGGGAUCAGAGAAAAUAACUGGCAAUCUGGAUCAGCCUGGUUUUGAGACGCGACUUGUUUGCCACUGACUGUUUUGCGUUGGCAGUUACUGCAGUUGGAGUGGGAAGCUGGAGAGGAGGAAGAAGACGAAGGUCCCAACCGGCAGAGCAAAAAGGUGAACCAGCCCUCGCCUUUUUAAUUACUAGGAGAAAGAAACAUUGAGGCAGUAAUUUCUUCAGGCAAGAUCGAUUGGCAGCUAAUUAAGUAGGCUGGAUGGCAUUGAGAAACCCAAAAACGAUUUACAUACACAUGGUAGAUCGUCUCUCUCUCUCCUUCCACCCCUUCCUUUCAUGGCCAUCGUAGACUGCACCAUGUGGCAUUCAAACUUUUCUCAAGGGGAGAGUUUCCUCACACACACACACAUGCACAUACGCAAGCACACGCACACACGUGUAGUACAAACUUAGAAUUUUUGGAAAUAAUGGGAGGCCGAGCAACGGCCAUGUGAAAAUAUGAGGUAUAUAGCUUGUGGAUUUCCAUUCAGUGUACAAGGCCUGCAUGAGGAAUGGAUAAAGAAAUAUAUCUUUGAUUCCCUUAGUUAAAUCUUAUCCUUCAUCGUCAAUUAUGACUAAGCAUACAUAGUAAUCGCUAGUUUCUCUUAUAUGCUUCCGAGAAGAUAAGACUGGAUAUUUUAGUUGCUAUUAAUUAUUUCCCUUCUUUCGCUAAAUAGUAGUCAAACAUGUUAUUAAUGUAUUUUGUAAGGAUAAGGUCGAGCAUCAUGGCCACUAUGUUCUAUAUAUACUGAAUUUGGUGUUCAGUAUGACAUAACAAACACAUAUUGUGAGAAGGAGUAGUGUACAUUGUUCUCUAGUGCACUUUGUUCAGCAAGUUGGGUGAAAAUGUUGAAUAAACCAUCAAGUUUUCAUACAUUUUUUCAUGGCACAGGUUUGCCUUCUCAUGAUGAUGGCUGCACCGUUUGCACAAGCUGCUGGGAGGCCUGUGGCAUCCUUACCAUGGGUAGCGGGGUGUUGCCUGAGGAACUAUUUGUGUUGUGGUGUUGGUGCUGUUGCCCCGACAUCCCAUGCAUCGCAGGCCACCUCUGUACCUUGAAUUAUGGUUUCGCCUGAUCUCCUCUCAUAACAUAGUUGAUAUAACAUAGUAGCAUCACAAAGGUUGCAUGGUUUCAUUGAUUCAUCUCUUUUCUACUCCGUGAAACUUGUGAUGCCACUUUUGAACAAUGUCAUUGCUAUGUCUUCUUAUAACUAAUAAAAUGGGAGGAUAUUUUCAUAUUAUUUGAAUUGUGUUGUAACAUUACCUACUAAUGUGGAUGAUCUGAGUGGACUACAUAGAUCGGAUCUUCUAAAGAUAUAAUCUAGGACUUUGCGAGAUGAUGAAAUUGUCCUUUAUCUUGGUCGACACCUUUUCGUAGAAGUGUUGGUCGGCCGUCUGUGUCUUUUUGCGGUGCAUGCCGUAGAGUCCUCCAUGUUUUGUAGUUGUACAAUAACCUUUGAGGCAACCGGGGGUGGUACGUCUGAGGAAGUCGGUGGCCCAGGAAUAUUCAUAAUGAGAUCUCGACCAUGGAUGCCAAGUAAUUUGCCCCGUGCUGAUGUCGUCGGGCGACCCGGUCACUUAUGUUUUGACUCAAGGAGUCGCUAUGUUCAUCGAGUCGCGAGACAGCGGGAGGAAGGAGACGAAGGUCCCAAACGUCAGACCAAAAAGGUGGACUAGGGCUCGCCCUAGUUGUGCUCUCGGGUAUUUUCAGUUACUAGUAGGAGUAAGAAGCAUUGCAAAUUGCUCCCUCUGUUCAAUCCGUAUAUAUGUAGUCCGUAUUCAUAUAUUCAAAAUAUUUUAUAUUUGUGAACGAAGGGAGUAAUUAAUAGUAAUGCAACAAUUUCAGGGGAGGCCAGUCAACAGCUAACUAAAUGUGCUGGAUGAGACUGGAGACAUGUAUAAACGAUUUACACAUGAUAGAACUACUCUUUUCUUGUCAAGGAAUGGAAGAAUGGAUGAUUUUAUCCGUUCGGAACAAAACCCAAUAUUCAUCCAGUUAGACGUUGUUCUGAAUUCUGAAGCUUUUGAAAGUUUUCUCGCAGAAAUAUGUGUGUGUAUUCCAGUUGUAUCAUUAGCAAACCAAGGUUGUAUAUAUUAUAGCACAAAGAAUGUUUGGUUGAUUCGUUCAGGCGAAUCAGGUUUGUGGCUGACUGCCAAAGUCAGGCCAACUCCAGCGCACGACCCCAAACAGACAUCUGUUUUGUCUGGAUUCUGCCCGUUUGGAUAUAGCAAUGGGGUCGUGUCCAGGCCUGUCCUGUGAUGCGGUCGCCGUGCGCACAACGCGCGGACGCAUCCUUUGGCCUCAUCAUGUCCGCCACGGCCAAAAAUGCCCAUAUAUUCAUAUUUCAAUAUUCAAAACUAGUUUGCACGUCCAAAUAUUAAUUGUCUGAAAAUAAAAAUAGUUUUACAACCCAAUCAAAAUUGUCUCUAAUAAAAUAGUUUUACAACCAAAUCGAAAUUGUCUUGAAUGAACAUAAUGAAACCAAUACAUCUAUUGGUUGCCAAUGUGAUUCCACAUGUGCUCAACCAAGUCAUUUUGAAGAUCCAAAUGAGUGUGCCAAUCAUGCAUUUCACGAUGACAUUGGGCAAACUGCUCAAACGUGGCCGGUUCUUGGUGCAGGGGCUGAACAUUUUCACCUUGAAAAUCAAAUCCUUGGUCGAAGAUGCUGUUAUCACGCUCGUCCUCGACGAUUAUGUUGUGCAUGAUCACACAAGCAGUCAUCACCUCCCGAAGCUUCCCUUCAUCCCAUGUCAAUGCAGGGUUUCGAACGAUACCCCAUCGGGAUUGAAGCAAACCAAAAGCACGUUCCACAUCCUUUCUAGCACUCUCUUGCAUUUGGGUAAAUCUCUUUCUCUUCUCACCUUGGGGGUUCGAGAUUGUCUUCACAAAAAGUUGACCACUGAGGAUAUAUACCAUCAGCUAGGUAGUAUCCCUUGUUGUACUGGUGGCCGUUGAUCUCAAAGUUGCCAGGUGGGGAGUGGCCUUCUGCAAGCCUUGCGAAGACUGGAGAACGCGGCAGCACGUUGAUAUCAUUGUGAGAACCUGCCAUGUCGAAGAAAGAAUGCCACAUCCAAAGAUCUUGCGAAGCCACCGCUUCUAAUAUGAUAGUGCAUGCUUUAACAUGCCCCUUGUACUGGCCCUGCCAAGAAAAUGGACAGUUCUUCCACUCCCAGUGCAUACAAUCUAUGCUACCAAGCAUGCCUGGAAAGCCUCUAGCCGCGUUGGUCGCCAACAAGCUUUCUAUAUCAGUGGCAUUUGGCUGCUGAGGGAGUCCUGGAUUAAGGGGUCCUCGGGCGUUUGGGCUGCGUAACAUGGGCCGGACUAAUGGGCCGUGAAGNNNNNNNNNNNNNNNNNNNNNNNNNNNNNNNNNNNNNNNNNNNNNNNNNNNNNNNNNNNNNNNNNNNNNNNNNNNNNNNNNNNNNNNNNNNNNNNNNNNNNNNNNNNNNNNNNNNNNNNNNNNNNNNNNNNNNNNNNNNNNNNNNNNNNNNNNNNNNNNNNNNNNNNNNNNNNNNNNNNNNNNNNNNNNNNNNNNNNNNNNNNNNNNNNNNNNNNNNNNNNNNNNNNNNNNNNNNNNNNNNNNNNNNNNNNNNNNNNNNNNNNNNNNNNNNNNNNNNNNNNNNNNNNNNNNNNNNNNNNNNNGAUUCCUUUCCCUGUAAACCGACUCUGUACAACCCUAGCCUUCUCCGAUGUCUAUAUAAACCGGAGGGUUUAGUCCGUAGAGGCAAGGAUAAUCAUACAGGCUAGACAUAUAGGGUUUAGCCAUUACGAUCUCGAGGUAGAUCAACUCUUGUAAUCCCUAUACUCAUCAAAGUCAAUCAAGCAGGAAGUAGGGUAUUACCUCCAUUAAGAGGGCCCGAACCUGGGUAAACAUCGUGUCCCCUGCCUCCUAUUACCCUCUAUCCUUAGACGCACAGUUCGGGCCCCCCUAUCCGAGAUCCGCCGGUUUUGACACCGACAGCUGCCUCAAGUACUCAGGGCCAAACACUGCCACCACAGCCUUGUAGAACUUGUAAAGUGACAACAGACAUGCCGACUCACUCAUGCGCACGUACUCAUCCACCAGAUCGCCUGGAAUUCCAUAUGCAAGCAUGCCGAUGGCCGCGGUGCACUUCUGGUAAGAGGAGAAUCCAAGCUUGCCAAGGGCAUCCGUCUUGCACUCGAAGUAUGGGUCAUGAGCAACCACUCCCUCUCGGAUACGAUUGAACAGAUGUCUUGCCAUACGAAAACGGCGACGGAAUUUAUCCGGCUUGAAGAGCGAGGUAUUCGCAAAGUAAUCGGCAUAGAGCAAGGCGUGGCCUCUCUCUCUAUUGCGUUUCAGGUUGGGAGCACGGCCAGGGACUGACCCCAUGUACCGAGGAAGCUGCCCAAUGUGAUCGUGAACGACCAGUGCAACCACCACCAGAUCUUCGUCAUCCGAGGACGAAUCAUCCAAUGAAUAAAUGAAGUGGUGGAAGAAAAAUUCAUCUCCACUGUCCAUACAUUUGUGGGCAAAGUGUUCAACACCUUGCGGUCGUGGUGGCAAAGAGGCCGCGAUGAUCAUCUCGAUGCAGCAGGGGUGGUUGGCGGCCGGCUACUGGCCGCUCUAGAGCACCCGGCGGAAGCUGCCGUGGUCCAUAUCCGUCGCCGGUGGUCGUAUCCCCUCUAGCACCGGCUACAAUGGCGACGGCCAAAUCUCCUCCAAGCGAUGGCCAGAACUCCUACGAAAGCGCGGGCGUUGUGGCGGCCAUGUCGAGACGUGGUUUGGUAUGGAUGGGCAGGGGGAGGGAGCAGUGAGGAGGCGGUCGGAGAAUACUGGCGGCGCCGGUGGCGGGAUGCGGCGGAGGAGAGCGGGUGAAGGCGUUGGAGGCAAAUGGAGUGCUAGUGUCCCCGACAGGCGGGCCACGGGGAGGACAAGGGCGUGUGUCCAGCCCGUCCGCGUGAUGUCCAUUUCACCCCAAACUCGGCACAAGUUUGGGCCGGGAAUGGGUAAAAAACGGACGAAAUCCGGACAUUUGUCUAUUUGAAGCCGCGCCUUGAGUCAUGCUAUUCGUCUGUUCUACCCUAAACGGACGCACCAGAACGGAAUGGGGUCGCGUGCUGGAGUUGGCCUCACGGCCGUUUCUGCCUUUGGCGCAGACAAGAGAUUCUACACUGUAAAGGAAAAAGCUGAAAGCUCUCUUGUCUCGUGUGUUUCUCUUCUCUUGCACCUUGUCGGAAAACAGUGUGCACCAGGGACGCUCGAUUCCAUGGCAGGCAUCAGUUCAAUCGAUCAUGCUACAGGGAACCGGCACUAUCUUCUUUUUCUUUUUCUUUUUCUUUUAGGUCGUGAACGCAAGUCAUUUGAGAUAUUCACGUAGGACUUACAUAAUUGGUACGUUGUGACAAAACUGGACGCACACGAUGAAAUAUAUAAAUAUUCCUAUGGUAGAUUUAUCAGCAUCAGUGUGGAGCUAAAGUGUUUGAUGUUUUGUAUGAAUGGUUUGGUCUGAACAAUAAAGCCGACCACUCAGGACCUACUUUUGGGCUUUUUUUUUUGUAUUAUUCUAUACUAGCAAAAGGGCCCGUGCGCGGAGAAAAAAAUUAUAAUCUUGAAUGACCAUGAUCACAUUUUUUUUCAUCACCGAGAUACACUAUCACUUUCAACUUCGGGAAAUCAUCUACAUUUUUUAAACUUGUGCACAUUUUUCACAUUCAUGAACACUUUUACAAAUUUGCAAACAUAUUCUAAAAUCAAGAACAUAUUUUGAAUUCAUGAACAUUUUAUAGUAUUUACAAACAUUUUUAGAAAUUACGUUUUUUUAACAAUUUUCUUGAAUAGGCAAACAAUUCUAAAAUGGACGAACAUUGUUUUAGAAAUCGGUGGAAUAAUUUUUGAAAUUCCCGAACAUUUUCUUGAUUUUACAAACAUUUUUUGAAAUGCAUGAUCAUUUUUGUAUAAACUAUUUUGUAUGUCACGAACAGUUUUCCAAAUAUUUGGUUAUUUCCCCAUUCAUGAACAUUUUUUGAAUGGUGAUAUUUUCUUAAAUUUCAUUAACAUUUUUUGUACACGAAUUUUUAAAAAGUCAUGGACGUAUUUUGGUUUCAUGAACAUUUGUUUUCAAAAUUUCAAACAUUUUUCGAGCCAGAUUCUUUAAUAAAAUUGCAAAUAUUUUUUGAAUACAUAAACAUUUUAUGAUUUAUUAAAACUUUAUUUGGAAAUUAUUUUAAUUUUGAAAUAUUUUUUGUAUUCUGAAUUUAAUUAAAGUAGAAAAACGGAAAAAGAUAAAAAAGGAAAUGUUAAAAACAGGCUGCCCGGACAUGGGCCGGCCCAAAUGGGCGGGCCGCGCCUUAUCCCUUCGCGCAGAGCCCAGUAUGGCAGGUCGCUACUACAUGGGCCAGUCCAGACGGGGAUUCCCCUGUGUGAAACAUUUAUAUCACUUAUACGUGACAUUUGGAUCCCCUCUAGUUAGGGUUUUCUCUCCUCCCGGCGGCGCCUGGCACCGACGUGGAGACCGCGAUCCCCUGCGUCUCCUAGACCACUGAUCGCCGGCGGCUUCGGACGUCGGGCUCGUGUGCGCGCUGGGCGAUCUGUCUAGGGUUCUCCCGCCCGCGGAAACCGACUUCUCGGGCAAGAGAUCUGAUGGAAGGCUCAACGUCGGCGUCAGCCGCAGCGAUGAGCGACAUGGAAGCUAUGAUGAAGGAAUUGGGCCUGAAAGAAGAUGAUCUGGAGGAUGUUGUGGUUCAGGAUGGCGACAUACCAGAGGAAGCGGCGCGGUGGAUGGUGAUCCUGCGGGUGCACAUGGAUAAGCCGUACAGUCAGUAUUGGUUUUUUCGUAACAUGCGGGUUGCAUGGGAUCUAGCACAAGAAGUCAAGUUCCGCCCUCUAGAAGACAACCUCUAUACUCUGCAAUUCUCCUACCUGGGUGAUUGGGAGAGAGUCAUGGAGGACGGCCCCUGGACAUACAAAGGAAAAGCUGUCGUAAUCGAGCCCUAUGAUGGUUUCACCAGAUCAUCGUCUAUUGUUCUUAACAAGAUUGAGAUGUGGAUCCAGAUCCAUGAUCUCCCUGAACUGUUCUUCCAGUUGAUUAAAUCGCUAGCAUCUACUGUUGGUGACUUCAUAUUUGCUGAGCCCAAAUCCCAGGACUUUGAGGGGAACUUUUUUAGGGUUCGAGUGAAAGUGGAUGUCACAAAGCCGCUCAAGAACGCUGUAUCGCUGGUGAUCAAGAAGAGGAGAGAGAUAUUCAGGGUGAAAUAUGAGAGGCUUCCAGAUUGGUGUGCUGUCUGUGGUAUGCUAGGUCAUCAGUUCAAAGAGUGUGGCGAUGGGAUCCAUCCCCAAUCUGCGCUUGUGUUCAAAAAUCUGAAAGCUGACUGGUUCAGGAGCCCAGGCCGUGGACCAGGUGCUGCAAGAGGCUUUGAAGGUGGUCGAGGGAGAGGUAAUGGUCGUGCAGGUCAUGGAGGCCGGGGCUCGGGUUGAACACAACAAGAUAACUUUGACCAGGCUGUUGAUCUGGAUACAGACAUGGAAGAAGGAGACGGGAACCGCAAGAGAGGAGCUCAUGCAAACACACUCUUGCUUACUUCUUCAGGGACCAACCCAUCAUCUUCGAUGGAACCCCAAGCCCUCGCUACAGCCACCGUUCCACAGAGUCCCUCGUCGAAGCAAGACCUCAAAAGAACAAAGACCAACCCCCGUCAGUUGGAGAAGAACCCAGGGAAGAACAAGUCCUCAAACACCCAAAACAAUGCGCAAAUGGCGAGCCCUAUCAACUGGUCGCGCCUGGCGCAAUGAGUUGCCUAGUUUGGAACUGUCGCGGGGCUGGCAGACCUGCGACAGUUCGUGAGCUUCGAGAUCUAUCGAAGCUACUUGCCCCCUCUAUUGUAUGCAUUCUUGAAACCCAGAUAGAGGGCUCGCGUGUCGAGAAUCUGGUAGGAACUUUAGGUUAUAAUAAAAGCUUUGCUGUAAGCAGCUCCGGCAGGAGCAGUGGACUAGGCAUUUUUUGGAAUGAGGAAAUAAAACUCGAAGUUAUCGGUUAUUCUGAGUACCACAUAGAUGUUCUUGUUGAGCAGAUGGUAGAAACUAAAACCAGAAUCACCUUUGUGUAUGGUGAGGCCCAAACAAGUGCAAGGUACAAAACUUGGGACAUGUUGCGCGGAAUUGCUGGAACUAGCAACGACCCAUGGGUAGUGAUUGGAGACUUUAACGAAGUACUUCAUGCCCAUGAGCAUGAUGGAACCGGCCAACGAAGCCAGGCGCAGAUGGACGCCUUCUGAGAUGCUAUUGACAAAUGCGGCUUAUCAGAUAUUGGUUAUAAGGGGCAAAGCUGGACUUUUGAAAAGAAGGUGAUGGGCGGUACGUACACCAGGGUGCGCUUGGACCGGAGCGUGGCUAAUCCUGCAUGGGCUUUGGCCUUCCCAGAUGCAUCCCUUGAGCAUCUCACCGCAGCUACUUCUGAUCAUGUCCCGUUGUUGCUUCGGCUUCAAGCAAUGCAUGCAUGCAGAAGGGGACCACGGCCGUUUAAAUACGAGUUGUGUUGGGAGCGCGACCCAACACUGGAGACAAUGGUGCAUGCGGGGUGGAAUCAGCAUCCUGGGGAUUCGGUGGACCAGGUGAAGGCUAAACUCCAAACACUGUCGGGCGACCUGUCGACGUGGGAUCGGCAACAUUUUGGAAGCGUGUGCAGAGAGAUAGCCGAAUUAAAAAAAGGAACUACAGGUGUUGCGAGAAUUUCCAGGAAGAUCUGGCCCCUCUCGACGGGAGACAAAAAUCUGCGACCGCCUGGUUGAAUUGUUUCAUCGCGAGGAGAUCUUGUGGAGGCAGCGAGCUAGGAUUGAUUGGCUCAUGCAUGGCGACAAAAAUACUUAUUUCUUCCACAUGAGAGUGAGUAGGCGUCGACGGAAAAACCAAAUUAAAUCCUUGCAAUGAGCUGACGGGCAGGUAACGGAGAAUGAACUGGAGAUGGAAAACAUGACGAUCUCCUUUUACAAGGACUUGUACACGACAGAAGGGGUUGGUGAUAUGGCACAGGUGCUAGAAACAGUACCAUGCAAGGUUACGCAUGCAAUGAACGCCUCGUUGAAUGCCCCAUAUAGCCCGGAAGAAGUCAAGACUGCCCUUUUUCAAAUGUUUCCCACCAAGGCACCGGGACCAGAUGGCUUUCCCGCUCACUUCUUUCAGAGGCACUGGGAGACGUGCGGAGACGAAAUCACCAAAGUCGUUCUUAAAAUUGUUGAGGGCACAGAAUCUGCAGCAUGUAUCAAUGAGACAGUCUUGGUGCUAAUCCCUAAGGUAAAAAACCCAACCCUCUUGAGCCAGUUCCGACCCAUCAGCUUAUGUAAUGUUCUUUACAAAAUAGCGUCCAAAGUGAUCUCUAACAGGCUGAAGGUGAUACUACCUGACAUUAUAUCUGAGGAACAAUCUGCCUUUGUCCCUGGUAGACUUAUAACUGACAACAUCAUCACUGCCUACGAGUUCCUACACUUUAUGAAAAGAAAUAAAGCUAAAAAGCACCAGUCGUUUGCUCUGAAGCUAGACAUGAUGAAGGCUUAUGACAGGGUGGAGUGGCUAUACCUGAAAGCAAUCAUGGUGAAACUAGGGUUCACUGAGAGAUGGGUGGACAUAGUUAUGGGACUGGUUACCACUGUUAAGUUUUCUGUCAUGUUUAAUGGGAAAAGAUUGGAGGAAUUCGAACCUUCACGAGGAAUUAGACAAGGGGACUCAAUAUCUCCGUACUUGUUCUUAAUAGCAGCAGAGGCCCUGUCGUGCCUGUUAAAAUCAAAGAGUGAGUCAUCCAAUCUGGGUGGUGUGCAAUGGCUCCUACGGCGCCGCCAGUUAGCCAUCUAUUAUUCGCUGAUGACAGCCUACUGUUCUGUAAGGCAAAUUGUGCGGGAGCUAAUGAGGUGAACCUAGUACUGAAUACAUACUGCCAAGCAUCCGGUCAGCGAGUAGCAAGGGAGUGCCGGAAGCUACGAGGACAGAAAUAAAAGGUUUACUCAAUAUUCCCAAUGAAACUUUAAAUGAGAAGUAUCUAGGGAUGCCGUCAGAUAUUGGGAGUUCGAAGAACGGGGCCUUCAAAUACGUCAAGGAUCAUUUAUGGAGUAAGGUACAGGGCUGGGUGGAAAACACCAUGUCAUCCGCAGGCAAGGAGGUUUUGGUGAAAUCAGUUGCCCAGUCCAUACCUAUAUUCUCAAUGUCAUGCUUUAAACAUCCAAGGGGAUUAUGUGAACACCUUAAUAUGCUUAUUAGGAAGUUCUGGUGGGGGAGCAAAGAUGGCAAAAGGAAACCUCACUGGGUAUCUUGGAAAAGUAUGACACAGCCGAAGGGAAUGGGAGGACUAGGGUUCAAAGAUUUUGAACUCUUUAAUAUGGCGAUGCUGGCAAGACAGGCUUGGAGAUUAAUCCAAACACCAGAGUCCCACGCUUGUUGAAGAGCAUAUACUUCCCUGAUUCUACCGUCUUGGAGGCGACCUUGUGCAACCAUCCCAAUCAGAUAUGGCGAGCCAUCAUCGAAGGCAGAGAUACACUCAAACAAGGUCUCAUUCGUAGAAUUGCCAAUGGUCAAUCUACUCGUAUUUGGGAGGAUCCGUGGCUGCCAAGAGAUGAGAUGUUACGGCCAUAUGGGAGCAUUCACCCCAAUCCGCCAACCUUGGUUUCGGAACUGAUCGAUCACACUAGCGCUUCAUGGAACAGUCAGCUAAUCAACCAAGUGUUUAUGCCCAUGGAUGCUUGUACCAUUAUGGGGAUCCCGGUGUGCACUCGCAAUCUCCAUGACUUCUGGAGCUGGAUCUUUGAAACGAGUGGCAACUUCACGGUCAAAUCUGCUUACCGCAUGCUUGUAGCGACAAGACAGCGCCGGGAGGCAUGGCUUGAGGGCACUGCUGGAACAUCAAACAGCACGUCGAAGGAGGGGGCUUAGAAAACGUUGUGGAAGACCCAGGUUCCUGCAAUUCUAUGGCGUUUAUCAAAGCACUCUCUCCCAACGGAGGACGUCAGGGCUCAUCGGCAUAUGGCAGAUAACGCUACUUGCGGUUUAUGUGGCUCGGCUGAUUCGUGGAGACACUCUCUGGUUAACUGCACUAGCUCGAGAUGGUGUGUGGGCUUUAGUUGAUGAGGAGCUAGCACAAAACCUAGUCUCAACCACGGAACCCAACGCCAAGCAGUGGCUCUUCACCUUCAUGCACUCACUAUCACACGAUCAAUUUGUAUUGCUUGCGGUCACUCUCUGGGCGAUCUGGACAGCGCGGCGCAAGGCUAUUCAUGAAGGAAUAGUCCAAUCGCCUCAGGCAACUAACAACUUUCUCAGACGCUUCAUAGCUGAACUAAACAUGAUUAAAGUGGAAAGGCCUAUGAGGGGAGGAGCUCAAUCUAUGGGCCUGUCACGAGCUGCACGCCCCAAAGCUCCCCCGAUCGGCUACGCCAAGAUUCAUGUGGACGCGGGAGUAAGAGCAAGGAAAGGUGGAUCAGCAGCCGCUGUAUGCCGGGACAGGCAAGGCAAUUUCCUAGGCAGCUCCGCGUUGGUGAUCGCCGGUCUAGAGGACCCAGCCAUACUAGAGACUAUCACUUGUAGAGAGGCAUUGGCGCUGGCGGAAGACCUUAAUCUGCAUAAUUUUGUCGUUGCAUCUGAUUCCAAGCAAACAGUGGCUGACAUCUUAAGUGGAGGCAGAGGCAAGAGUGGUACUAUUAUCCAGGAGAUAAACACUAGAGCAACUCUAUUUCAUUGUAAUUUUUCUUUUGAAGGCCGUGCUGUUAAUGUCGAAGCACAUAGACUAGACAAAUAUUCGCUUAAUAUCGGUCCGGGGCGCCACCUCUGGUUAGGUCAGCCCCAUGACCCGAGUUGUAUCCCACCCAUUGUGGUCUUUGAUGAAUAAAAUUUGGCUUUCCCCUCAAAAAAAAAACUUAUACGUGACAUUUGUGGGUAAUUUGUACGACGUGCCAUAAGAAGAAAUAGCCCCUUUAUUAUUAUUAGCAAAAGUGUCCGUGCGUUGUAACGGGAGAAAUAAAAUCAAAAUCUCCAAUGACCAUGACCAUAUUUUGUUGCAUCACCAAGACACCCCUAUCACUCUCAAUUUCGUGUAAUCAUGAAUAAUUUUUGAAAUCACGAACAUGUUUUAAAAUUAUUACACAUAUUUGAAAUCGUGAACAUUUUUCAAAUUCAUGAACACUUAUACAAAUUUCCGAACAUUUCUAAAAUCAAGAACAUUUUUGGAAUUGAUGAACAUUUUAUACUAUUUGCAAACACUUUUUAAAGAUUCCGAACAUCUUUAUAAACAAUUUUCUUUAAUCGAGGAACAUUUUUAUGGAAAUUGAUGGAACAAUUUUCGAAAUUCACAAACAUUUUUUGAUUUAACUAACAGUUUUUGAAAUACAUGAUCAUUUUUUGAAUCAGUGGACAUUUUCUGAAUGACUAAACUAUGUUGUAAGUCACGAAAUAGUUUUUGAAUUUUAGGAUAUUUCUCCAUUCAUGAACACUUUUUGAAUUGGCUAUUUUUUUCAAUUUCAUUAACAAUUUUUGAUAGAAAAACUUUUUAAAAAAUCAUGAAUUUUAUUUGAUUUCCCAAAAAAUUGUUUUUAAAAUUUUGAACAUUUAUUGUGUAAGCAAUUGUUUUUUACAAAACAGCGACCAUAUUUUAAAUCCACUAACAUUUUAUGAUUUAUGAAAAUUUUAUGUCAAAAUACUCAUUUUUUUAAUUUUCGAAACUUUUUUGAAAUCCCAAACUAUUUAUUGUAGAAAAGAACGAAAACAGGAAAGAAAAAUGAAAAUAGAAAACAAAAUCAAAGAAACAGGCCAGCCUGAAAUGGGCCGGCCCAAACAUACGUGUAGCUUCUUCUCCCAGCGUGCAGAGAGCAUUAUAGGAGGUCCCAACUGCAGGGCCGGCCCAGAUGGGGGAAUUCCCCUGUGUGAAUUUUUUGUAUCACUUAUAUGUGGCAUUGAACUCAUGAAGCAUGCGCUAUCCCUUCCAGCUCGCCGCCAUGUAUGGCUCGGACAACCAGAUGGACUUUCUUUCGUCCAUGUAAACGUUAUGACGAUAUAAUAAAAAGCUUCGGAAUUUGUCUAAAAAGACUUAUAAGUGGCAUUGGUGGGUAAUAUUUUGCAACUUUAGAGGUAAUUCCAUGACGUACCACCAGAAGCACAAUAGCCCCUUUACUAUUAUUAGGUACUCUUUUUUCCUUGUGGAGCUUUGGAAAUGAGAGAAUUUGAAUAUAGUAACUCUCGGAAACUCUUAUUGGAUGAGAGAGAUUUAAUAUGAUAUUGGCAUGGGUUCUACCAACUAACGAAGAAGUAUUUGACUGGAUAAACAGACAAUUUCCUUUAAUGGACGAACAUUUUUAUGAAAAUUGGUGGAAUAACUUGGGAAAUUCAUAAAUAUUUUUUUAGUUAACGAACAUUUUUUUAACUUAACGAACAUUUUUUGAAAUACAUGACCAUUUUUUUGAAUCUGUGAACGUUGUAUGAAUGAAUAAACUAGUUUGUAAGUCAUGAGCAGUUUUUCAAUUUUUAGGAUAUUUUUCCCUUCAUGAACAUUUUUUCAAUUGGUGAAAUUUUGUUCAAUUUCGUUAACAAUUUUUAGUGCACAAACCUUUUUAAAAAAUCAUGAACAUGAUUAUUUACCAAAGAAGCAAAUUGUUUUUUACAAAAUCGUGGACAUUUUUUUAACCCAGAAACAUUUUAUGAUUUAUGAAACAUUUUUUUCAAUACACAAUAUUUUUAAUUUUCGAAUUUUUGUGAAAUCCUAAAUUAUUUAAAGUAGAAAAAUCAAAAACAGAAAAGAGAAAGGAAUAAUAGAAAACAAAGUUAAAGAAUAGGCCGACCGAACAUGGGCCGGCCCAAACGGGCGCACUGUAUCUUCUGCCAGCGCCUAGAGCGCAGUAUAGGAGGUCCCUACUGCAUGGGCCNNNNNNNNNNNNNNNNNNNNNNNNNNNNNNNNNNNNNNNNNNNNNNNNNNNNNNNNNNNNNNNNNNAAGAAAAUAAUGCCUAUGCAUAUGCUUUUAUAUUAUUAUUAUUGUUUCAAAUUUAUUCAUAUAUUAUUUUCAAUUGUACAACCAUAAUUUUUCUUAUCUCUCUCGUUCCACUACAUGCUCCUAGUCAAAGAUUUUUUUAAUAAUGGGUGUUUUUAUUAACUCAAAAUAUAGCAUCAAGCGGAUACAAAACAUAAUGAGCCACACCCGGUCUAUGCAUAACUAAGAUGCACACAGCCAAAAGCAGAAGUCUGACAAAAAUAAGAUAAGAAAAUCGACAUAUCGACAACAGUGAGUCAUAUAGUACCGACACUAUGCCUCUGUCGAAGGAGGUGGUGGAGCGAUCUGGAGAUUAUGCUGCCAUCCAUGUUGAGUAAAUAUCUCCCUGGCCACUUGCUCCAACCGCAUAGACGCCGCCAUGAACAACGGUUGGUACUCCAUUCGGUGUAGCAUACACCAUACUAGAGGCUGGGGCGCCACCUGAGGCGGGCCUAUGCACACUUAUUUUGUCUGGGCAGUUCGGUUGUCAUGUUUGGUCAUCAGUAUCACUUAUGUACAUCAAUAUGGGCGUAUGUUGUAUUGUUUGAGUUCAUUAGGAUCUAUCAGUAUCACAUCAAUCAAACUACAUAUACUAUGUUAUUUGAGUUCAGAACCAUCAUAGGCAAUGAUACGUCUAACAAGGAUAUAUAACAUUUAAUUCAAAAGGAAAGACAAAGUAGAAUUAAGUGCUUCAGAUUGGCCGAAGAAAGGAACCUCAUGAUGCCAUGACUAAGGAACCAAAUAUAAAAGAGCACCUUUCAGAGUACUCCAGAGGUAUGACAUCAUCCAUUUCCACAUCAGAAUCAUCGGAAUUCUCCUGAUCCUCAUUUCGAUGUACCCAACACAAAUGCUACAUGGAUUUUAGUCAGCUGCAAUCCCCACUACUUCUACACUUCCCCUUUUUCACACCGAGGAGCAGAGACUGAUGCAAGUUGAUCGAACACAGAACAACAUAUAAUUGCCUAGAGAUGCGCUGGGCCUGAACAACAACAACAACAACAACCGUUGAGCCAGGUCUCCUUCCAGCAGCCUCAGCAACAAUAUCCAUCAGGCCAGGGCUCCUUCCAGCCAUCUCAGCAAAACCCACAGGCCCAGGGCUCUUUCCAGCCUCAACAACUGCCCCAGUUUGAGGAAAUAAGGAACCUAGCGCUACAGACGCUACUUGCAAUGUGCGAUGUCUAUAUCCCUCCAUAUUGCACCAUUGCUCCAUUUGGCAUCUUUGGUACUAACUGAGAAGAGAAGAACUCUAGUAGUAGAUAUAUGAUACACCGUUUUCUUAGUCCAUGGUUUGGUCGUUGUAGCGGUGAAAAAAUAAAGUGACAUGCACUAUCAUGUAAGAACCCGAACUAUACUAGUUCAAACUUGGGAAUAAAAGACAAACACAGGUCUUGUCUACAUAUGAUUGUUUGUUUGAGUUCCACUCAUGUGCCCAUUCACAAGUUCACCCCUAAUUAUAUAUAUUAUGCAUUA
rnacentral:lncRNA from 1 species